rnacentral:lncRNA from 1 species
AAAAAAAAAAAAAAAAAAGUCGUUUCUUUACUCAUGAUAGAUUUUGUACAUAGUAUAAAAUACACCAACUUAGUAAAAUGAUCUACAAUCACAAACAUAGAAUUGCAUGAACUUGAAAUUGAAGAUCUAUGAUAAAAUCCAUAGAAACAAAAGUUGAUAGUUAUUUGGAUAUUGGUAGUAGUUGAAGAAGUCCAUAAGAUUGAUGACAAGAAAUUUUUGAUCUUAUACAAAUAUUACAUGAUUGUAUAAAGUUAUUAAUUAUCUUUUACAUUUGAAGCUACUAAAAAUCUUUAAAUAUUAGCUCAAAAGUCUUUCAUAUAUCAAAAAUAUCUUAUUACUAGAAAUUUGUAAUAUGCUUGAAGAACACAUAAUUAUACCUUACUUUUGAAAUAUAAAAAUAGCCUUAAAAAUAUAAUAGAUUAUUUUUUGAAUUUAAAUUUAAAAAUAUCAUGGUACUUAAAAGAUUAGUCUUAAUAUUAUAAAGAAGAGGAUCAAAGGUUAUACUUGAUAAAACUUGCUUGAGAAAGGUUGAAUCAACUAUUUAUGUUAAUUUUAUUGCUUAAGGAUAAAAUCACUUUAAAUUAAAGAGAUUCAUGUUUUAUUGAUUAAAAGUUAUAUUUUUUUUUAAAAAAAGAUAAGAAUUUUUAAAAAAAUAUUUGAAAAACCUUAUUAUUUUCUUUUUUGAUAAGUGAUUUUGAAAUCAAAUAUUAAUAAAGAUAUGUAUUAAUAAAUUUAGCAACAAUACAAAACAAGUCUUGACAUAAAAUACCUGAGGUUCUCAUAAUCCGUAUAUACAAUGAUUGAACUAGAAGUGCCUUUUAGAUAAUAACACCAUUCUUAAAAUGAAUCUAUAGUUGGAAUAUAAUUAUAUUAAAAGGAGAACUUAUUAUGUUAAAUAUUACUAAAGUAUUAUGGCCAUUAAUUUUUACAUCUUUGGAAAUAAUUUUAUGAACAACAUCUCUAAAGGACAAAAAACAACCAUCUAUAAUUUCUACAUGCAUAAGUUUGUUUUUCUUAAAUAAAGAUAUUUCAUAUUUUUUAACAAAGUCUUUGUUUAUAAAACAAACUAAGGUUCUUGAAUCCAAAAAAGUAAAGACAUUGUGAUUUUUUAAUCUUAAACAAAUUUCUAUUGUAAAACAAGGUGAGGAAUCAUGGACAUACAUUCUUCCAAAUUAAAUAUGUGUUGGAGGUCAUAUAAGAUGUUGCCACGUGGUUUCUAGUUGGAUAGUAUAUAUGGAGGUAAGUAUGAAGCUUUCUUCACUUUUAUCAAUGCCUUUCUAAUUCUUAGUCUUGUUUUAAGACUUUCAAGUCUUCUUAUCCAUUGUGAGCUAAAAUAAACCUCCACUAAUUGGAAGUUUAUUCUAACUCACAGUAAGUAAAUUAACUACAUGAAUUUAAAAAUAUAUCUAUUAUUUAAAUUCUAAUCCACUUAUUACUUGUUCUUAAAACACCAAGUUAUUAAUCAAAUCCUCCAACAUUACUCACAUUCACAAUGAUAAUUCACUCUUUAAUUUCAUGUAAAAUAAUUUUUUCUUCUACUUUUAAUUAGAUAAUUUGGUUUAUUUUUUAAAAAAAUUUAAAUUUAAAUUUAUCAUUAUUAUUAUUAUUAUUAGGUUAUUUUUAUUGCUUUUUAUUAUUUUAUUAUUUUAUCAUUUUUAAAAAUAUAUAAAUUUUUACAUCUUAAAUAACUAAUGGUAAAAAUAAUUAAUUAAGUUAUUAUCUUUAAUCCAUAGUAACUGUAAAUUUUUUAAAGGUUGGAUUAAAAAUUAAAAUUUAAAAUAUAAAAAUUAAAAUAAAGUUUAAAAAGUAAAGGUUAAAAAAUAAAAAAUAAAAGUAAAAUGGAGAAGAUUAAAAGUUAAAAAUUAAAUCCAAAAGUGAAUGUAGAAGUUAUAAGUUAUUGUAAAAAAUAAAAUAAAAUAAAUGAAAAAAUAAAAUAAAGAGAGGUACAAAUAGAAGUAUCUUGACAACACCUAACAAAUUAUGGGAAGCACCCCCUUUUUACUCCAAAAUUCGCCAAAAAUCCAAAUUAGCUUCAAAUCUAGUGAUUUUUGUUGUGUUGGACAUUUAAUGCUCCUGCUCCAAAAUUUUCGUGGCAAUCUAGUACCUGAGCUGCGAGAAAUGCUUCUUCAAAAUUGGGCAAUUGGGCCUGCCGCUGCAGCCGACCUUCCUUUACUUAAGAAUUCGUUAAAAAUUCAAAAUUGAUUAAAAUUUAGUAAAAUUUGUGCCAAUAGAAGCUCAGCUUGAAGAUUCUUACACUCUUAAAAUUUCAGAAUAAUUCCAUUAAAUGGCACUGAGAAAUGUCUUUUCAAAGUUGGGUUAUUGAAACUACUAAGGCAACUGCCUCUUUUGCACUCAAAAAUUCACCAAAAAUUCGGUUCAAAUCCAAAUUGAGAAAGUCUUAGCUUGUUGGAAAGCUAAUAACAAGAUCUACGUGAUGAAAAAUUUCCACUUAAAAAUCAUAAAAAACCACAGACUGAUUGAGGAAAAUCCGAGGCCCCUCAAACCCUUUUGACUAUGGAAAUUGUUGGUGACUAUUAAUUGCAAAAGGCGCCUCUUACACCACAACAAGCACCACCGAUGACACAAAACAAAUGCUCAUAUAUUCUUAAAGUUCACAAUGAGAUCUAAGUUUAAAAAAGAAACAAAAAAAAUAAGGUUAGGUUUAGGGUUGAAACCACACGUCAGCAUGGCUUCGCCCUCAUCCAAAAGAAAGAAAGAAAGAGGCUUGGGAAACCAAACCACUCUUAUACAAUUGAAUGGUGGCUUGUAGAAGGGCGGCUACAUCUCCACCCUUGAUUUCUAAGAUCCUUAAUAUAGAUCUACGGCCUUCUUUCAUCCAAGAGCUAAUUUCGUGACCAAGGUUGAUGGCUCUUAUAAGUGGGAAAAAAAAAACACUUUUUGAUACAUCAAACUUAACCAUUUUGUUUAAAACACCUUUUAUGCUAAGAUUGACUACUCACAUGCAUUAAUCUAUGCUCCUUUGUAACUUUUAUGAAGGUUUUUUACUUAUAAGGAUUUAGGCAAUAUUUUUAAAAUUCUUCAAAAAAUGAAAAUUUUUCUACUUAUACUUUGAAGGAAAGGAUGUUGAUCUUAUUUUCUUUACUCCUCAUUGUUCAUUUGAUGCCUCCAUUACAUUUGAAAGGCUUCCAUAAAUUAGAAGAAUGACUUUGCUGUUUGGAUUUGUUGAAUUUGGAAAAAAUCUUCAAAUCCAUCAUAAUUAAAUCUCAUUAGAUUUUUUUUUCUUCUUUUUUUUUUUCUUUUUUGAAACCAAGACUACUUCAUUUGUAAUUCCUCUAUUACUAGAUAACUAGAAAAAUAUAGUCUUUAUAGUUUUUUCUUACUAAAUUCUAUCUUAGAUUGGAUGUCUGCUACUAGUAAUCUAUUUUCUAUUUUUUCAUAAUAUUAUAAUAUUAAUUCAUAAAAUUUGUGUUUUAAGAAUAAUAAGUGCAUUUUUUAUACUAAAUAUCAAAGUGAAUCAAUUUAAUGGCUCACAUCUAUAUAUAUUAUAAAAAUUGAAAGAUAUAUGAUUAUAUACUUAAAUAAAAAAGUAUAUAUUUUUUACUAUUUAAGUUGGCUUCUUAAGAUACAUCAUCGCAAAUAAUGACCUUAUGAUAGAUUCUAAGAAGGUUCAAACUAUCAUGCAUUGGAAGGCCUCAAAAACAGUCAAAGAUAUAUAAUAUUUUUUAAAAUUUUCUAAUAAUUACAAAAACUUUAUUAAGUUUUUUUUUUUUUUCCAAGUCGCAGCUCCUUUUAUACUUUAGAUAUAUAAAAAAAACCUUGAGUGGAGCAAAAAAGCUAAAGCAUAUUUUGAAGCCUUAAAGACAUCAUUUAUUUUUGAACUUAUCUUAAUUUGUGUUAACUUUUUAAAGGCAUUCUUUAUAAAAAUAAAUACAUCAAAUUUUGCUAUAGGUAGAAAGUUGUCACAAGUAAGAAAAUAUGAUAAAAUUCAUCCAAUAGCUUUUCAUUGUAGGAAAUUUCUAACAAUUGAAAUUAACUUUAAUUUUCAUGACAAAGAACUACUCCAAUUAUGGAUUCAUUUUAAGAAUAGAGUCAUAAUCUAUAUGGCACUUUUAAUUCAAUGACUCUAUGUAUGGAUUACAAGAACCUUGAUUAUUUUAUGUCAAGAUAUAUUUUUAAUUAUUUCUAAGCUUUUUAGUACAUAUCUUUAUCAAGAUUGAUUUCAGAAUCACCUAUUAAUUUAAAAAAUAACAAGAUUCAUUAGAUAUUCUUUUUAGAUAUUCUCACCUUGCCUCUCAAAAAAGAAAUGUAGCUUUUGAUUAAUAAAGAAUAAUUUUCUUGGUGUUAGAAUAUUUUCAUCUUUAAGCAAUGAAAUCAAUAUAAAUUAUUGAUUCAAUCUUUUUCAAAUAAACUUAAUUGAAUAUGUCUUUUGAUCCUCUUCUUUAUGAUAUUUAGAAUAAUUCUACUAAGACUUAUGAAACUUCUAAGUUUGAAUUUAAGAACAAUCUACUAUAUUUCAAAGAAUAAAGCACAAUUAUGUUGUCAUGAUAAAAUACAACUAACAAAUGAAAGAGAGAAGAAAAUAUUAUAUUAUAAGAGAUCUUAUUUUAAAAUAUUAUAAAAAAUUAUCUUAAAAAUAUAGAUAAUUGUCAAAACGAUUGUAAAAUUAAAAAGUAUUAAUAUUGUUUUUUUUGUAAAAUAGGCUUCUACUUACUUUGUAGGGCCAUAAAUAAAGCAAAACAAAGUAGAUUAGAAAAUUAAAUAUUAUUAAUUAUUACACCAAUACAUUGCUCAAAAUUAAUUUAUUCAAAUUUUGAAGUCAAUUAAAUAUUUAAAUUGUAAUAUUUUAGGUUUUUAGUAGGUUGAAAUCUCAAAAAUUGGAAUUUGAGGGUCAAUAAGUGUUUUUAAGAUUUUUAGCAAUUUUUCAAUUGGAUUGAAGUGAUUUUUUUUAUACGGAUAUUAGACUUAAUUUUUAAUAUUUGGAUGAAAUUUGAGAGUAAUUCAAUAAUUUAAGAGGAAAAUAUUGGCAUUAGAAGUUUAGUAUUAAGAUUGGAGUAGAAGGCUAUUCAACUUCCAAUUGGAUUAUCUUUCAUUUCUCUCAAUUUUUAAGUACAAUUGAUUUCAGCUUUUUAGUACUUAUUCAAAAUUAAAUAUAUUAAUAAGUUUGUCAAUUUUGAAUUGAUAUCAAUAUUUUGAUUAUUAGUUGUUUAAGUUCCAUUUUGCUAUAGUAUUUUUUAAGAAUUUAUAUAAGAUCUAGGAUUUGAUUAGGAUUUGAUUUAGGAUUUAUUCACAAUUUGGUUAAGUAUUAAAUUAAAACUAAGAUUUGAUUUAAAAUUUGACUAGAAUUUUAUUAGAAUUUAUCUAGGAUUUUAUUAGGAUUUGACUUAAUAUUUGGUUAAGACUCAUUUAAGAUAUUAAUUAGGGUUAUAUUAGAAUUUUUAUUUUUAAUAUUUCUUUAAGAUUUUAUUUAUUUAUUUAAAUUUUUUAUUUUUAACAUUUUUUAAAGAUUAUUUUUAUUUCUUUCAAAAAUUUUAUCAUUUUUCUUUGAGAUUAUAUUAUGAAUUCUUUAUAUUUUUUAUAAAUUCUUUUAAAUUUAUUUUAAUAGGUUAUAGUUUGAUUUAAUUUAUUAGGAAUUAUUUAAAGUUUAUUUAAGGAUUUAUUAGAUUUUGUAGAAUUAUUGUUACAUUUUUACUUUUCUUCCAUAACUAGGUGUUCAAUGCAUUCUCAAGUAAGAAUACACAUAAUAUAACAAUAUGUUUUUUAAGCUUAUUAUAAUUUACCAUCAACUAAAUAUUUUCAAUACAAUAAGACUUUGAAACAAAUAUCUAAUGAUUUUUGGUGAUUUCAAAUGUAGAAGGGAAUUAAAGAUUUUAUAGAAUCAUAUGAUCUUUGUUUAAGAUUAAAAACUCCUCGUCAUCAAUCAUAUGGACUUCAUCAAUUAUUAUUCCAAAACAAUCAUGAUUUUUUUUUUCUAUAGACUUUAUUAAAAAUCUUUUAGUUUCUAGUUGUUAUGAUUCUAUAUUUUUGAUAGUAGAUUAUUUUAUCAAAAUGUCACAUUUUCUACUAUGUACAAAAUCUAUCAUUAGUGAAUAAAUAGUUAAGCUUUUUCUUGACAACAUCUAUCAUUAUCAUCAAUUGUCAAAGAAUAUUAUAUUGAAUAGAAGGACUCAGUUUGGAUCAAGAUUUAAAAAAUCUUUUUUAAGAUUCUAAAAGUGAAUAUAAUAUUAUAUUUAAUAAUAAAAAUAGAACUAAAAAAAUACAAGAAUAAAAAAAUACUAAUGUGGAUGCUUAAUAUAAAGAGUAAUUUUAAUUCUAUAUUAGCAACAAGAUAUGAUUACUUUAUUGUAGUAUCAAAACUAGUUGCUCUUAUGACAAGCUAGAUUAUUAUAGGCUUGAACCAUUUCUUAUUUGUAAGCAAAUCAAUCAAAUUUCUUAUUAAUUACCUCUAUUAUAGUCUAUAAAGAUCCAUCUCAUAUUCCACAUAUUUCUUUUUGAACCAUAUAAAUUAAUAAAUGUCUUGAAAAAAAGACAAAUGUCACUUCUUACUAUAAAAAUAAAUAGUAAUCAAGAAUUUAAGGUGGAAUGAGUCUAAAAUUCAAGUCAAUGCCAAAAUAGGUUAAAAUAUCUUAUUCAUUGGCACAAAUAUAUUAUCAAUAAAUGCACAUGGGAGCCAACUAAGCAUCUUACAAAUACAAAAAAGAAGAUUGAUACUUUUCAUAGGUAAUAUCUAUCAAAACUAAGAUAAAAAUUAACAAAUCUUUGCUAUAAAAGAAAUACAAUUUAAGAAAGAUUGAAUUUCACCUUCUAUCUUUAUUUAUAGUUUAUGUGUAUUUGUAGCACUAAGAAGAUAGAGAAUCAAUAAUCAAUAGAUUUAACUAAAGAUCCAUCAUUUAUUGACUUAUAAGAUGAGACAUUAUAAUUGUUAUAACUUUCAAGACAACGUAAUCUUAAUAAGGUGGUCUUUUUGCCUUAAAUUGAAACAUUAUUAAUGAUUAAGAAGACCUAUCAACUACUUUCAAAAGAAACAAAGAUCAAAACAUAUAGCUAAUAUAAUUCUUUGCAUCUUAGACUUCUUAAACAUAUAGUGACAAUUCUUCAUAGAACUUGUUUUUAAAAGAAGAGGCAAUAUCACAGACAUACUUACUUAGGUAAGAAUUACUAGGUAGAAAGUAAAUAUAGAUAGAUUUCAUAUUAUCUUCUAGCAAUAUUUGAAGCUUUAUAGAUGGAUAUUUAAUUUUAUAUAUGUUUAUAGUUGAUUGAUAGAUUAGAAACUUGGUCAACAAGUUAAUCAUGUUUUAUAAGUAUAGGUAGCUUAUAGUAUAAGCUAAUAAUAUUGUGCGCUUACAUAAAACUUACCUUACAUGUUGUGAAAUGGUUCUUGCAGAUUAGACAUAUAUUUGAGGUCCAAUAAAAUGUUGUUAUAUAGCUUCUAGUUGGAUAAUACUUAUGGAAAUAGGAGUGAAGCCUUCUUCACUCUAAUGAAUGUCUUUCUGGUCUUUAGUCUUUUUUCAAGACUUUUAAAUCUUUUUAUUUUUGACAAUAGCCAUUCUAGUUUAAUAUUAUACUAUCUUUGAAUAAUUCAUCAAUCUUUUUGAGUAAUAUAAGAGUACAUUGAUCUUUUAGUUUUUUAAAAUUCAUAUCCUUGACAUGAUGGAUUUGAGGAUAAAAUAGGACCUUUACUAGGUAUUAUACAAGGUUCCAACUAUACAAUUGCUGUAGUUGAAAAAAAAUAUUUUUCAACACAUCAUCUUCUUUGGCAACUAUGUUUUUUAUUUUGUAAUGAUGUUUCUUCUUUGGACAAUAUUGAGUAAUGUACUUAGGUUUUUUAUAACAUAAGCAUAAUCUUUCUUGACAAUGUCAACUCUUUAUUUUGUUGAGUAAGAGGUUUAAAAUGUAUUGUUUUAAUUUGUAUUGGUUUCAACUUUAAUAAAUAAGCUUUUUAAGUCUUUGUCAAGAAUAAGAAGUCAAUAAAAGCAAAUAAAUAAGUAAGACUCUGUCAAAGAAAUAUGAAAAAAUAGAAUUAGAGAAGAAUGUAUAUUAAAAAAGAAACUAAAAUGGCUAUUGCCAAAAGACAAAGAAACUAGAGACUCUUGAAACUAGAUUAGAAACAAGAAAGGAUUUGAUAAGAGUGUAGAAGGCUUUACUCUUACCUCUAUAUGUACUAUCUACCUAAGAUUUAUGUUGUGACAUUCUAUAAGACCUCCAAAAAUGUAUUGACUUUGCAUAACACAUAUUUUAACUUGCAAGGUAAGUUUUGUAUAUAGGCACCACAUAGUUAGCAUGUUCUGCAAGCUAUCAAUACAUGUGGCAGGUAGUUAGUUUCUUGACUAAGUUUCUAACCUAUUAAUCAACUAAAAACACAUGUAAAGUCAUCUAAAAAGCUUCUAAAAAGCUUUUCUAUAAGAUAUUAUAAAAUUAAUUUAUUUUUAAUUACUUCUAUCUAUUUAUAUUAUUUAGAUUAUAAUUAUAGUAUAUAUAUAUAUAUAUAUUUAUAUCUAUGAAAAUCUUAGAAAUUAUUUCCAUCAAUUAACUUACACCUCUCUAACCAAAUCUUUGUUUUUUGUAUCUUUCAAAGAAUUGAUUAUUAUAUGAAUGGAUUAAGCAAUAAAAUAUUUGAAUAAGUCUAAUCUCAGUAUUGUUAACAUUUAAUCUUUAUCGUAGUCUUCAAAUUCAUAUCAAUAUUAAAUUAUAAAAUCUUUGUCAUUCUAAUCCAUGUUAUAAACAAGAUUUUAAAAUUUUACAAUAUAUAUGGUGGUUGAAUGUAAUUCUUAUCAUAAAAGUAGGAAUUUGGUCUUUUUUUAUCAUUUUUCAAUCACUUUUAAAUCUACACAUAAACACUUUUAAAAAUAAAUUUAAAUUAUAGAAAAGUUGUAAAUCCUUUUCCAUCUAAAGUGCAAAUAAAAAAAAUUAGUUUUGUGCAGAUAUUGUCACGAAUAUAUAUAUAUUUACUUCAAUAAUUACUUAUAUGAUUAGGUAGAAGUAGGUAAAUAUAGAUUAAUUUUAUAAAGUCUUGCAUAUAUAGAUAACUUGUCUUACAAGUUAAGACAUGUGGCUGUUAGGGACAUAGUCCUUAGACCUUUCUAGAGACAAGUUUCUAGAACCUUCUAGAAAGAAGUCUCUAGAAACUUCCAGAAGAUUCCUUAAAUAUUCUCUUAGAAUAUUCUUCAAAGAUUCCCUAAAGAUUCUUUGAAGAUUUCCUAAAGAUUCCCUUAGAAGGCUCUAGAAGAUUCUUAGAAUAUUCUAGUAGAUUCUAGGAAGUUACUUGAGAAGCUUCCUAGCUCUUGGGUAGUUGCUUGAGAAGCUUCAUAGUUCUUGGGAAGCUUCUUGAUGCGCUUCCUUAGAACCAUAGGCCAAUAGUAUAUAUAGGAAUCGAGGCUGAAGAGUUUUUCAGUCUCGACAACACAUCUCUUGAAGCUCUAGCUCAAUUCUCUUGGCGUUGCUCUUGUACUCAUCUGAUAAUCUAGUUCUUGUCAUUUCUUCUUGAACUUCUUGUUUAGAUUUCUUGUUUGUAUUUUUGGUCCGUGACAGUUUGUCGAGACUACCUUUAUCUUAAUAUUAGAGCUGAAUCCUUCUUGUUUGAGAGCGGAUUACCCCUCUUCUUGAAGGUAUUCUAGCGCUUUAGGGGUUGCGGAUUACCUUCCUCUAAACUGAUAUUUUCUCAAUCACAAUAUCAGAGCUUAGUUCUUUGAGGCAGAGAGUGGACUACCCCUUUCCUUGGAGAUACUUGAGCGUUCUAAGGGUUGCGGAUUACCCUCUCUUGGACUGAUAUUAAUUCCUUCUUUUUGUUUAGCAUAGCUAGUAAAAAAGACUGUUAACAUCGAUUUCAGAGCUUUGCCUUCUUGAUAGAGUGCGGAUUACCCCUCUUCUCGAAAGCAUUGAGGCAUUUUUAGAGGUUGCGGAUUACCCUCCUCUAAAACUGAAAUCGUUUAGUGUUUUUUUCUUUUCUUUUCUCCGAGUAGGUUUUAGAGACAGGUAGUGCUACAAUUUUCUCCAAGAGACUUAGCAAUUUCUUCUUCUCUCAAAAUUUUAAUCCAUCUAUUCUCUAAAUAUGGAAGUAGACCAGGUCAUAGACAGUGCAUCUCCACAAGUAGACAAUAGAGUGGCAACUCUUGCAGAUCUUCAAGCUCUUAUGAAUAGUGUACAAAAGGAGAUUGUAUUUCUUCGCAAUCCAAGUAAAGAACCUCAAAUUGAUCUAGUGACGAAAGAAGCUAGACGCGAAAUUCAUAGCCUACAACAAGAGAUUAUUCGACUGAGAGAAGCAAGACAUGUGUCACAUACGACCCCUAUGGAUACUUCAAGGAUUAGUACGAAAGAACCAAAAGUGAGUAUGCCAGACAAGUUUGACGGAACAAGAGCCAACUUCCGAGGUUUUGUGCAACAAGUACGGCUUUACCUACGCCUAUACCCUUCUCGUUAUCCGAAUGGAUUUAUCCAGGUUGCUUUCAUAGGUACUCUUCUAUCAGGAAAUACUCGCUCCUUGUUUGCUCCACUAUUGGAGAAGGAUUCUCCAAUAUUGUAAGACCUAGAGGCUUUCAUAGAGAGACUUACUGCUGCAUUUGGAGAUAGCGAUCGAGAAAGAGUGGCUGAAAGAAAGAUACAAAAUCUGCGACAAGGAUCACGUUCUGCUGCAAUCUAUGCUGCAGAAUUUCAACAGCUUACAUGUGAUCUUGAUUGGAAUGAUAAGGCGUUCAUGACACGAUUUCGAUAUGGACUGAGAGAUGAUGUCAAGAACUUAUUGAUCACCAUGCCUAAGGCGGAUACUUUAGAAGAACUUAUAUCUCAGGCAAUUAUUUGUGACAACUGCCUCUUUGAAUUACGACAAGAAAGACGAUCAAUCUGGAGAAAUGAUGGAGCAUUUGCUACAUUUUCAAAAGGUCCAGAGAAUCACUCCACAGAUACUGAACCCAUGCAAAUUGAUGUGGUACGUUUCAAACCCCUCACAGCUGAGGAAAGGAAGCGACGGUUUGAACAAAACUUGUGUUUAUAUUGCGGAGAAGCGGGCCAUAAAGCUGUAGAUUGUCGGAAGAAACAAAAGCCUCAAACAACAAGACUUAGGAGUACAAGCAUGCAAGAAAACAACGACACCCAGCCACAAUAGGGACCGUGCGGCUGGACAUCUCAACAUCCAAAAUUAAUCAAGGUCCCUUUCUCUCAACUCAACCUUCAGAUUGUUUUAUGGUACCUUUACAUCUGGGUAUUCAAGAACUACAAGUCGAUGCUUUAUUAGACUCGGGUGCAUCUGCUUGCUUUAUAGAUGAAGAGUUUGCCAAGCUUCACAAUAUUUCUCUUGUAAAGAAACUUAAGCCUGUCCAUAUAGAAGUCAUAGACGGACGACCAUUAUCUUCGGGCAAUGUUAUUUAUGAAACUAAACCAUUGAAGGUACGUCUUCAAAACCAUGAGAGCAAUAUUGUGUUUAAUGUUAUCAAGACCCCUUCAUGUCCUAUCAUUUUGGGACUAUCUUGGCUUGAUAGAUAUAAUCCAUUGAUAGAUUGGAAGUUGCGGAAAGUGACAUUUCCAACAAACUCCUUGAAGGUAGAAUCCUUGUUUAUAGGUGCAAGGGCUUUCAUGAAGGAAGCCAAGCAAAAUACAUCUCUCGUCAUCUUCGCAACUCCGACUCGAGAAGAUGCAACUCCGACUUUGGUUAUUCCAAAGUAGUAUGAAGAAUUCAAAGAUGUCUUUGAAAAGAAGAAUGCUGAUAUGCUGCCAGAGCAUCGACCCUAUGACUGUGCCAUUGAAUUGCAAGAAGGAGCACAACCACCUUUUGGACCAAUCUACAAUUUUUUGCAGACGGAGUUGACUGAGUUGCAGAAGUACAUUGACGAGAAUCUAGCCAAGAACUUCAUCCGUCAUUUGAAGUCGCCAGCUGGGGCACCAAUCUUAUUUGUGAAGAAGAAGGAUGGCUCACUACGGAUGUGUGUGGACUAUCGAGGUCUCAACAAGGUGACAAAAAAGAAUCGCUACCCACUGCCUUUGAUCUCUGGUCUUCUAGAACAACUUGGACGUGCAAGGAUCUUUACAAAGAUUGACCUAAGGGGAGCUUACAACCUUGUGCGAAUUAAGGAAGGAGAUGAAUGGAAGAUAGCGUUCCGAACAAGGUAUGGCCAUUUUGAAUACAAUGUCAUGCUAUUUGGUCUUACUAAUGCUCCAGCGGUCUUUCAACACAUGAUGAAUGACAUCUUUCGAGAGCAUCUAGACGAUUUUGUUGUCAUCUAUCUAGAUGAUAUUUUGAUAUUUUCUAAGAACGAGGAAGAACAUGAGAAGCACGUUCAUCUGGUACUCAAAAAACUACGGGAGCGAGGACUCUAUGCCAAAUUGGAGAAGUGCUUAUUUCACCAAACUGAGAUGGAGUUUUUGGGAUUCAUCGCGACUACGGAAGGCUUGAAGAUGGAUCCAAAGAAGGUGGAAGCAAUCAUGUCUUGGGAAGUUCCGAAGACGGUUAGGGACGUACAAUGUUUUCUUGGAUUUGCUAACUACUAUCGGAUCUUCAUCAAGAAUUAUUCUCAAGUUGCUGCCCUCCUCACUCGGUUAACAUGUAAGGACAAGCUCGAAUGGGGACCUAUCGCAGAAAAAACAUUUUAAGAUUUGAAGAUGGUAUUUACUACAGCUCCAAUCUUGGUACAUUCGGACUUUACAAAGGCCUUUUAUUUGGAGACAGAUGCUUCGGAUUUUGCUUUGGGAGCUGUACUUUCACAAAUGGGCGUAGAUGAGAAGCUCCAUCUAGUUGCGUUCUAUUUUCGAAAAUUCUCUGCUCCUGAGAUCAACUAUGAGAUCUACGAUAAAGAACUCCUUGCUAUAGUAGAUUCUUUCCAAGAGUGGCGCCACUUUCUCGAAGGAAGUGCACAUCCAGUGACCAUAUAUACGGAUCACAAGAAUUUGGAGUAUUUUAUGUCGGCUCGGGUUUUGAAUCGGCGUCAAGCUCGAUGGAGUAUGUCGCUAUCCAGGUUCGACUUUGUUAUUACUUAUCGGCCUCGGAAGCAACAAGGGUUGUUCGAUGUAUUAUCAAGGAGAUCAUAUCUCGCGCCAAAGGCUGGAGAUGCAGCAUUUGAUCAACAGUGCACGAUAUUGUUGAAGCCAGAGAAAUUUCGGCUCAACGCAGUUAUUGUACCAAUUGAUGCUGACUUCCUCGACCAGGUACGGGCCGCAACCAUUGAAGAUUCUCUAGCCCUUGAUAUCAAGCAACAUGCUAGUGAUGAUAAAUUCAAGAUGGAAGGAGAUCUAGUAUAUUUCGAAGAGCGGUUGUGUAUCCCAAAAGGGCCAACACGACUCCGAGUUUUUCAAUCUCGUCAUGACUUUCCAGCUGCGGGACAUUUUGGAUUCAAUAAGACCUUGGAACUUAUUUCCCGCGAUUUCUGGUGGCCUCAAAUGUGGAAGGAUGUGAAAGAUUUUGUUGUAUCUUCUGACAUUUGUUCUAGAUCCAAAAACCCUCGACAUCGACCUUAUGGACUUCUACAGCCAUUGCCUAUUCCGCGCCGACCAUGGUCUUCGGUUUCCAUGGAAUUUAUUACAGAUCUACCACCAUCGAAUUCAUUUGACAGCAUUUUUGUUGUCGUAGACCGGCUUAUAAUGAUGGCGCAUUUUGUCCCUUGCAAGAAGACAUCGUCAAGCGAAGACACAGCAAGACUCUUUCUUGAUAAUGUGUAUCGAUAUCAUGGUCUACCAGAUGAUAUCGUAUCGAAUCGAGGAACCCAGUUUGUGUCAAAGUUUUGGAAAUCUCUUUUUGAAAUAUUGAAGGUGGAUAUCAAGCUUUCUUCGGCAUUUCAUCCUCAAACGGACGGCCAAACAGAACGGGUGAAUCAAGUUUUAGAGCAAUAUUUACAUUGCACCAUCAACUAUCAACAAGAUGAUUGGGUCGCAUAUCUACCGCUAGCCGAGUUUCCAUAUAACAACACCCUUCAUGCGUCAACUCAACAAACGCCAUUCUUUUCCAAUUAUGGAUACCAUCCGAAGCUUGACUUAUGGAGUUUGUCAACCAUUAACAAUCCGGCAGCUGAAGGAUUGGUGAAGGAACUUUCGCAGCUUCAAACUACAUUGAAGCUUCAAUUGCAAACUGCCCAAGAAUCUUACAAGGCGUCCGCGGAUAAAUUUCGGAAUCAGGCACCUAAAUUCACGAUUGGAGACAAAGUUUGGCUGCUUCGACGAAAUAUUAAGACCAAGCGGCCAUGUGACAAAUUGGACUAUCGGAGAUUGGGACCAUUUGUUAUCCAGAAGCAGAUCAAUCCCGUAGCGUAUCGUCUGGAGUUACCAGCUACUAUGAAGGUACAUCCUGUCUUUCAUGUUUCUUUGUUGGAGCCUUAUCGAGAAUUGUCUUUUCCUGAAAGAGUACAAUGUCCACCACCUAGCAUAGAAAUAGAGAACCACAAAGAAUACGAGGUGGAAAAGGUCCUGGAUUCACGGCAAAGACGGGAUAAAUUAGAAUACUUUGUGCAUUGGAGCGGUUACGAUAUUAAUGAACGAACAUGGGAGCCGGCCAAAAAUCUCGCGAAUGCACCGCAAAAGGUACAGGAGUUUCAUCGACAAUAUCCUGAGAAACCCAAGUCGGUUCGACGAUAGCUUCUUACUGAAGCUUGCUCAUCCAGAAAACAGAAAAGAGGAGAGAGCACCACCAAAAUCCAUAGUUGAUGUAGUCAUUCUCUCCAAGAUAGCGUAGAACUUUGUUAGUAGCCCAAGUUUGUUCUUAUUGUUUUAGCCUUUGAAUAUGGAUAGCCAAGAUACUACACUUGUCAUGUCAUCUCAAGCAACUAGCUCACGAAGACGAUCGCAAGAUGAAGAACCGCCUGCACCACGACGACGUCGAAGGAUUCCGAGCAACAGAUCGCUGGUGAUUGUAUUUGAGGUCGAGCCUGCCUACAAUGGUCAGCCAGAAGGAGUGUUUGCAGGACAAUUUCACAAUGAAGACACGGAGGUUCAUGCUUGGUCAGAAGUUGAAGGCGUGGGCCACUACCGUUGGCUUCAAGGACCAUUGAAUCACUUGCCUCGUGAACAACAAUUGGAGUUCAUAGCAGAGGUUAUGCGACAGAUCUUCAUUUUCUUGCGUUGGUAUUGACUGACGAUAACAUUGCUUCUCGGAGAUCUCGAAGCUAAAGGAGGAGGUGAUGUUAGGGACAUAGUCCUUAGACCUUUCUAGAGACAAGUUUCUAGAACCUUCUAGAAAGAAGUCUCUAGAAACUUCCAGAAGAUUCCUUAAAUAUUCUCUUAGAAUAUUCUUCAAAGAUUCCCUAAAGAUUCUUUGAAGAUUUCCUAAAGAUUCCCUUAGAAGGCUCUAGAAGAUUCUUAGAAUAUUCUAGUAGAUUCUAGGAAGUUACUUGAGAAGCUUCCUAGCUCUUGGAUAGUUGCUUGAGAAGCUUCAUAGUUCUUGGGAAGCUUCUUGAUGCGCUUCCUUAGAACCAUAGGCCAGUAGUAUAUAUAGGAGUCGAAGCUGAAGAGUUCUUCAGUCUCGGCAACACAUCUCUUGAAGCUCUAGCUCAAUUCUCUUGGCAUUGCUCUUGUACUCAUCUGAUAAUCUAGUUCUUGUCAUUUCUUCUUGAACUUCUUGUUUAGAUUUCUUGUUUGUAUUUUUGGUCCGUGACAGUGGCUAACAAAGUCAACAUGUUUUGGAGGUCUUAUGGGACAUCGCUAUGUAGCUCCUAAUGAAGAGUAUAUAUGGAGGCAAGAGUGAAGCCUUUUUCACUCUUGUCAACGUCAUUCUAGUCCUUAGUCUUAUUUCUAGACUUUUUAGUAUUCUUGUUUUUGGUAAUAGCCAUUCUAUUUCAAUAAUAUAUUAUCUUUGAGUGAUUUUUUAUAAGAUUGUAUUGAGGAUUUUUUACUUCAAGAUUCAUGUCUUUGACAAUUUGACAAGAGUAGUAAGAUAUUAUUUUUGUCUUGUGUUAGAAGUGAGUGGAUUAUCCCACUUCUAUUGUUGACUUUGUUUUGAAGGUUGCGGACUAUCUACCUUUUAAAUAAAAAAAUCUUGUUUUCUAACAUUGAUCUUUUUGUAAAAAGAGUGGAUUAUCCCUCUUUGUAGAAAUUUUCAUUAGAGGUUGUAGAUUACCCUCCUCUAAUUUAACUUUUUGGAUUUGUUUGAGUUGCCCAUAGAAAGAAAGAUUAUGGACGCUACACCUAUCAAAAGUGAAUAGAUUUACAACUAUUGUAGAUCUUCAUGAAUUUGUCAACAUUCUUUGAGUAAAAAUCUCAUGUAUUUCUAACGUGAAUCAUGGAGGUACUGUGGCCACACCUAUAGAAGAAGUUCAAAAUCUGCGACAAAAAAUUAUGCAAUUGAAGGAAGCAAGUAGAUCAACUUCACAACCAAAUCUAGAGAGUUUUGCUUCUACAAGUAUGACGAGGACAAGGAUUAGUAUGACUGAGAAGUUUGAAGGAACAAGAUCAAAAUUUCAAAGAUUUUUGCAACAAGUCAAGCUCUAUCUAAGAUUGAAUCUUUUUCAUUAUCAUGAUAGAUGCACUUCUAUCAAGAAGUAUUCUCUCUUGGUUUGUACCUUUGAUAGAAAAAGAUUUGCAAUUCCUUUAUAAUUUGAAUUCAUUCCUAGAAGUGUUUAUGAUGAUAUUUGGAGAAAGUGAUCGAGAACAAGUAGCAGAGAUCAAACUCUUAUCUUUACAACAAUGAUUAUGAUCAACCACUACAUACAUUGUUGAAUUUCAAAACCUUACUUGUGAUAUAGAUUGAAAUGACAAAGCAGUGAUUAAUCAAUUUCAAUAUGGGUUAAAGGAUAGUGUCAAAGAUUUGUUAUUAACAAUGGUAAAAAUAUAAUCUUUAAAAAAAUUUAUUACUUAAGCCAUUGCAUGUGACAAUUGAUUAUUUGAAAUGCAUCAAGAACAAAGACUUGGCUCAAGAGGAACAAGUCAAGUAAUAGUGAUAGCUUCCAAGUUUUUUGAAACGUAUUCAUUAAGACAAAAAUUAAUACAAAUUGAUAUGAUAUGUUUUAAAACUCUCACAAAGUAGGAAAAGACUUGACAUCACCAAAAAGAUUUGUAUUUAUAUUAUGGAGAAGCUAAGCACACUGCUCAAUAUUAUCCAAAGAAGUGACACAAUUACAAAAUAAGGAGUACAAUUACCAAAGAAGAUAAUGUAUCCAAAAACAAGUUUCUCUAGCUACAAUAGUGACCUUGUGAUUGUUCAAUUGAUUUGCAAGAAGGAGUUCAACUACCAUUUGGACCAAUCCAUAGCUUAUUGUAAAAUGAGUUGGUUAUAUGAAAGGAGUAUAUUAAUGAGAACUUUGCAAAGAACUUCAAAUGCCAUUUUAAAUUCCCAAUUGGAAGUCUUAUCUUAUUUGUGAAGAAGAAAGAAGAAUCUCUAUAAAUGUGUGUGGAUUAUCAAGGACUCAAUAAGAUCACCAUUAAAAAUAGGUAUCUUUUGUCUUUGAUUUUAAGACUUCUUGACCAACUCAAUCAAACAAAGAUCUAUACCAAAAUAGAUCUAUGAGAAGCAUACAACUUAGUUUGUAUCAAAGAAAGAGAUAAAUAGGAGACUGCUUUUCAAACUAGGUAGGGACAAUUUGAAUAUAAUGUCAUGCCUUUUGGACUCAUGAAUGCACUAGGUGCUUUUCAACAUCUUAUGAAUGAUAUUUUUUGUGAAUUUUUAAAUAAUUUUAUCAUUUGCUAUUUAUACGACAUUCUAAUCUACUCUAAAAACACAGAAGAAGUUAAACUUCAUGUUCGUCAUCUGUUACAGAAACUCAGAGAUGCAAGAUUAUAUACCAAGUUAGAAAAGUACAUAUUCCAUACUAUUCAAGUUGACUUUUUAUGGUACAUCAUUUCUAAUGAAGGUCUUAUGAUGGAUCCCAAGAAGGUCCAAACUAUCAUAUAUAGGAAGAUUCCAAGAACAAUACAAGAUGUACAUUAUUUUUUAGGCUUUGUUAAUUACUAUCAAAUCUUCAUCAAGAACUUUUUUGAAGUUGUAGCCAAACUUAUACAUUUGACUUGCAAAGACAAACUUGAGUGGAAUAAAGAAACAAAAGCAUCAUUUGAUGUUUUAAAGAAGAAAUUUCUUUUUACACCAAUCUUGUAUGGUGUCAAAUUUUUUGAGAUAUUUUUUAUGAAAAUAAAUGUGUCAGACUUUGCUACGGGUGCCGUGUUGUCACAAAUGGAAAAAGAUGAUAACCUCCUCCUAGUACCUUUUCAUUCAAAGAAAUUUUUAGCAAGCAAAAUUAAUUAUGAAAUGCAUGAGAAAGAACUCAUUGCAACCAUGGAUUCAUUUCAAGAAUGGCGUCAUUAUCUAGAAGGCUCUUCAAGUCCAGUUAUAGUUGUCGUAUGGCGUCAUUUGCUAUCUAAGAAUAUAUUGGAUAUCUAGCUAUAGAGAAUGUAGCUUAAACCUUUAUAUGAAUCUUGUCUUAGCUUCCAAACUCUCUUUUAUUUUGCAUAAAACUCAAAAUAUAACAAAAUCCCUUAAAAAUAUUUUUUUCUUGCAAAAGGUUAUCUUUUUUCAAACUUUAGAAAUUCAUAAUUCUUGAUCUAAUCUUUCAAUUCAUUUCAAAAUUAUAAGAUAGGUAGAAUUCAUCCUUAAUUUUUAUCACAAAAAAAAAACAAACUGCAAAUUCACUCCCGAUCUUCUGACAUCUAAGAAACCCUAGCAGAUACUCUAAACCCUAAUUUACAAGCACCCAAGCACUAUUUUCUUAAUAUCUCAAGAUUCCAAUACUCAAAUAUCAUAAAACUUAUGUACAAAGUUUAUUAACAUGAAAUUACACAUUUACUGAAAUUUUGAGCCAAAACCUUGUCAAAUUGCUCAAGAUAUAGCUCAAGACACAACCACUAGUAAAUAGGAUCACUUACUACCCUUAGAUUGCAUGUGCUGACUUCAAAAUCCAAAAACUCCUUUACUUUAACUUGGAAUGUAAUAAGCAGUAUCUAAAAAAUGUAGCCGCAAAAGUACUCUCUCUAGUCGCAAACGCCAAUCCUCAAUUGCUAUUUGUAUGCAAGUGUUAUGCCAAAAAGAGUGACAAUAGCUCCCAAAUCAAUACCUUAACUUUGAGCACUUAUAUCUCCUUCAUAUAAACUCAAAACCAUACAAAGUUUGUACCAAAAUCAUAGCCAAAAACCUAAACUUACUGAUCCUAGCCUUCAAAGCUCGAAUGGCCCCAAGAAACUAACCCUAAUCCCUAAUAUGGCCUCAGGCAGCCUCCUCAAAGCCUAUUGGUCAUGAUUUUUGAAUAAUAUGAAUGGAGAUUUUCAUCAUUCAUCUCCAUUCAUCUAUAUUGGUGCCCUAAUUACUUCCUUUGCUACCAAAAUCCUUCUUCAAUCCUUUUUCUUAUAAGAUUUAUAUAAUUUAUGUUCUAAACUCCAAAUAAAAGAACCAAAAGAAGUUUUCAAAGGUCACCAAUGUCUAACAAAAGUGACUCUAAAUAUUUAAAAGUUACUAUCAAUCAAAACCAAUCUUAAAAGCCACUAUCAAAAGAAAAUUAAAGUUAUACAAAUUCUAUUGUAAUCUUUUUAAACAACCUCUUCUCAAAGUAAUAAUCAAAUUAUAUUCUACAACUAACUAAAAUCAACUAACAUGGCUCUUACCAUGUUACUUAGUAAAUUAUAUAUUAAGUACAUAAUUACAUUAUUUUCAUAUAAUAGCCGAAUCACAUCACGACAUCGUAUAUAUAAUUCACAAGAAUCUUAAGUACUUUAUGUCAAGUUGUAUUUUGAAUCAUCAUCAAGUUCAUUGGAGUAUGGCUUUAUCUAGAUUCAAUUUCAAGAUCACUUAUCGAUUCUCUUGAAGCCCAAGUAUUUUCAUCUUUGAGCAAUAAAAUCAACAUUGACUGUUGAUUCAACCUUUAUCAAGAAAAUCUAAUUACAUAUGUCCUCUAAUUUUUUGUUCAUAAUUUCAAGAAUCUUUCUUCUAAGUCCCAUGAUAUUUCAAAGUUCAAGUUCAAGAACAACCUUCUUUAUUUCAAAGGAUGUCUUUAUAUUCCAGGUAGAAAAACAAUUAAGCUUUUUGUUUCUAUUUCAAGUAAAGAAACAACUAAGAUUUUUAUUGACAAUAUUUAUCGCUAUUGUGGAUUGCCAAAAGAUAUUAUAUCAAAUAGGGGGACUCAAUUUGCAUCAAGAUUUUGGAGAAUCUUAUUCAAGAUUUUAAAAGUGGAUAUAAAGUUUUUUUAAGCUUUUCAUCCUCAAAUUGAUAGACAAACAGAAUGAGUGAAUCAAAUUUUGGAACAGUAUUUGAAGUAUACUAUCAACUAUCAUCAAGAUGAUUGGACAACUCUUUUACCAUUGGCAGAGUUUACAUACAAUAAUUCAGUACAUUCUUCUAUUCAACAAACACCUUUCUUUACUAAUUAUAGUUAUCAUCUAUGACUUGAUACUUUUGACUUUUCAAAAGUUGAUAAUCCUACAGCAGAGGAUUUAGGAAAUCAUAUCUCAGAGCUACAUGCAACAAUGAAGAUACAAUUAAAAGAAGCUCAAGGAUGGCAAAUGACUAACGUGGAUGCCUAUAACAAGGAGCAACCAUAAUUCAACCUAGGUGAUAAGGUAUGGUUACUUUAUCGUAAUAUCAAGACUACUUGUCUUUGUAAUAAGUUGGACUAUUGUAAAUUAGAACCUUUUUCUAUUUGUGAACAAAUCAAUCAUGUUGCUUAUCGAUUAUAUCUACCAAAGUCUAUGAAGAUCCACCAUAUACUUUACGUAUCUCUUCUUGAGUCGUAUAAGACAAUGAAUAUUUUGAGAAGAAGAGAAAUGCCACGUCCUCUUAUAGAAGUAAAUAAUAAUCAAGAAUUUGAGGUGGAAGAAGUCUUAGACUCAAGGCGACACCGAAAUAGGUUGAAAUAUCUUAUUCAUUGGCGCAGAUAUGAUAUUAGUAAACGCAUAUGAAAGCCAUCAAAAAAGUCUUGCAAAUGCAAGAAAGAAAGUUGAAGCUUUUCAUCAACAAAAUCUAUCAAAAUCAAGAUGAAAAAUAGCAAAUGUUUGCUACAAAAGCAACUAGAUAAAAAAAAAAUAACAUCCUAUUUUCUAGCUUUCAUUGUAGCUUAUGUGUAUUUGUGAUACUAAGAAGAUGGAGAACCAACAACCAGCACAUUCAACUUAAGAGCUUUGAUUUGAGAAUUUACCAAAUGAGACAUUACAAUUGUUAAAACCUUCAAGAUAACGGAAUCAAGUUGAAGAUCUUCAAGAACGACAUGUCCUUCUUCAAAUACAUGGUGACAUAUAAUAUGUUUGGUAUCACGACCUUGGAAGAGACUCUUGCUAUUUGGUGAUUUUAUUAGAGGUAGGAACAACUCCUGACGGUGUUCCAAAUAUUUUAUUUGAAAGAAGUUACUAAGGCCUCAAUAACAAUAAAAUAACAAGGUGGUCUUCUUGUCUUAGUAUGGAACACUAUCAAUGGCUCAGAAGGCCUAUCAACCAUCUUCAAAGAGAGCAAAGAUCAGAGUAUGUGGCAAAUACAAUUCGUCGCAUCUUGGACUUCCUCAACAUAUGAAGAUUGUUCUUUGUGGAAUUCAUUCCUAGAAGAGUAAGUAAUAUUAUAGACAUAUACAUUUAUUUUAACAAUUAAUUAUAUGAUUAAGUAGAAAUAGGUAAAUAUAGAUUAAUUUUAUAAAGUCUUUUAGUGAAGCUUUUUAAAAGCUUCCUAGAUGUGGUUUUGACUUUAGAUGUGUUUAUAGGUUAGAAACUUAGCCAAGAAGUUCUCUACAUGUUGGUAGCUUAUGGAACAAGUUAACUCCACAUAAUAGCUUGUAGAACAAGCUAACUAUGUGGUGCAUAUAUAGAUAACUUGCUUUACAAGUUAAGACAUGUGGCUAGCAAAGUCAACAUGUUUUCGAGGUCCUAUAGGACAUUGCCAUGUAGCUCCUAGUUAAGAGUAUAUAUGGAGGCAAGAGUGAAGCCUUCUUCAUUCUUGUCAAUGCCAUUCUAAUCCUUAGUCUUAUUUCAAGACUUUCUAGUAUUUUUGUUUUUGGCAAUAGACAUUCUAGUUCAAAAAUAUAUCAUCUUUGAGUAACUUUCUAGUUCUUUUCAAUAUCACAAGUGUGUAUUGAAGAUCCCUUUCUUUGAGAUUCAUGUCUUUGAGAGAUAUAUAUGUUCAAAUCUAAUUUAAGAAAAAUUGUUAGAGUAUUAAAAAGGAUGCAAUCUUAGGUAGAUUUUUAUUUGUUAUAAAAAAGUCAAAAUAAUAAUCUUGUUCCAUCAAACUUUAUUAGCAUACUUAUCCUUGCUUCACUCAUAUUUAUAAUAGCAAAAUUACUUAGAUGUAGUUAUAUAUUUUAUCUACUUUCUUUUUUCAAUUGUGCAACUUCUUGGCAAAGAAUUUAUAAUUCAUUGUGGACUUCUUUCAUAAACAUAGGAAUGAUACCUCCAUAGAUGACAUUAUAAAUAUGUAAUUUUUUUGCUUUAAGAGUAUUAACAAGCUUAUGAUGAUUUAUAAUAGUAGUAAAUCUAUUCUUUUUCUACCAAGAGUGAGAUUUAUAAUUUUUCUAUCCAUAGACAACUCAAAUAAAUUCACAAGUUAAAUUAAAAUAAAAUAAUUUAUAACCUCUAAUAUCAAAUAAAAAUUUCUAAAAAUAAAUAUAUAUUUUUUAAAAAAAAACAAUCAAUUUUAGAAAAAUCAAAAAUUAAUUUAAAGAUGGAUUAUCCACAAACUUCAAAAUUCAAUAAUAAAAGUGAAAUAAUCCACUUAUUUUUAAAAACAAAACAAGAACAAUGAAUUAAUAUUCUUAUGAAACUAUAAAAGAUUUCAAAUUAAUAAAAAUAAAAAUUUAUUAUAUUCUUUUUUAUUUAAAAAUAAUAAUUAUUCACUUAAUAUUAAUAUAAUAUUAAAAUUCAAAUGGCUAUCUUUAAAAAUAAAAAGACUAGAUAGUCUUCAAAUAAAAAAAACUAAAAAAGUAUUGUUAAAUAAAAAAAAGAUUUCAUUCUUAUUUUCAUAUGUACUAAUGAAUAGAAGACCUUUGUUGCAACAUUCUAUAGGACCUCUAAUAUGUGUUCAACUUUCAAAACACCUGUCAAACUUACAUGAUAAGUUUCCUACAUUUGUUCCAUAUUGUUAGCUUGUAUGACAAAUUGUCAAUACAUUGUCAUGGUGGAAAGUGGUAUAAUAUGUAAAGAUAAGAUAAAAUAUUAUAAUAAUUUGGUUUAUAAUAAAAAUAAAAUAAAAUAAAAUAAAUAGAUAGUUAUAGAUAUUGAUAGCUUAUCUCCAAAGAUAAGUCAAGUUAGAUUGAUAUGAACUUGAAAUGGAGUAGUAUGGUGAUAAAAUAAAGAGACAUGGGCUAAAGUGGAGUGACAUGGGCUUGUGUUGACUUUUAGACUCUUCUCUCCUUCUUCUUUGGUUGAGCACUAUCUCUUUAGAGAUAGCUAGCAAUUCUUUUAUGGAUUUUUUAAAACAUUUUUAAUAUUUUAUUUGAAGAUUUUAAAAAGUACUUCUUUUCUUUAUUAGCUUUCUAAAAAGUUCUUACUUGCUCUAAGAGGAGUUAUUAUGAAGAUUGAGUGUGUUUAUGAAUAAGAAGAGAGCUAGCCACUUUUCAAGGUCUUCUUGAAGGUUUGCUUUGGCAGAUUUUUUAGAGUAUUUUUAGUAUUUUUUUUAGAAAAUUUAAGAAUUGAUUCUUCUCUUUGUUAAAAUUUUAAAAAUCUCUUAUUUACUCUAAGAAGAGUUAGUAUGGAGAUGGAAUGAGAUUUGGAUAAAGAAUAAUCAAUUGCCUCAUAUUGAUAUGAUUACUAGUUUAUUUUUAUUCAUAAAAUAUGAUAAAGAGAAAUUUGUGAAGUAAAAUUUGAUGUAAAUAUAUAUAGAUUAAGUAGCUCUUCAAAGAGCCAUUACAUGCUCAAAUGUAAUGAAGUAUGGAGUUAUGACGCCUAAUUGAAUGAAAAACAGAUGACAACUCUAACAUAUUAUCAAGAGUAUGAAGUAGUAGAGUUUAUUUGAAUACAAAGUACUAUUUGACCAUAUUUAAUUUUAGCCAUAAAUACUAUAUUUUUGAAAAGAAAACACUCAUAUUCCAACAACAUGCAACAUAUGAUUAAUUUGUUGAUAAAUAUUUUAACAUAUCAAUCAACUACAAACAAGUAUAAAGUCAAAUCUACAUCUAUGGAGCUUCUAAGAAGCUUUGUUAUAAGAUAAUAUCAAAUCUACUUAUAUGUACUUUCUAUCUAAUAUUUCUUAUUUAGAUAAAUAUGUAUUUCCAUGAUACUACUAUUAUUAGAGGUCUUAGAUAAAAAAUAAGUUUUUUAUAUUAAUUAAAUUAUAUUCUUUUAAAUAAUAAGCUCUACAUUUAAAUUUUUCAUAUAUAUCAAUUAUUUUAUAUUUAAAAUUUAAUUCUACUUAACUUAAAUUAAUUUUUAAAACUAUAUUAAUAUUAAAUCUAAUAUAAUCUAAACUAAAAGAAGAUAAUUAAUUAAGACUCUAUAAAAUAUCAUAAUAAUGCUAUUAUUGAUAGAAUCAACCAAUUCAAGCGUUUGAGUAUAGUCUAGCAAUCAAAUUAUGAUCCAACUCUUGUAAGUAUAACUGACAUGCUAAGAUGUUGUAUCCUAGUCUAAUGAAAAUUCUAAUUAAAAUUUAUCACAUAGAUUUGAUAUAAUAGAAUAGCAAUUACAAAAAACAAGAAUCUUUAGAUUUUUAGAACUAGACUAGUAGCAAAAAAAGAAUUGAUAAGAAUAAAGAAGUCUUUAUUUUUUGGAUCUAUAUAUACUAAAUAAGUACAAUUUAUAUGUUGAUGUUUUAUAGAACCUCAAACAUGUAUUCAACUUGCAAAAUGCAUGUCUAAUUUAUAAGACAAAUUUCCUAUCUAUGCACUAUGUAUCAAACUUUUUGGCUAAAUUUUCAAUCCAUUAAUUACUUAUAUACAUGUAUAAAGUCAAAUCAACAUCUAUAAAGCUUCUAAGAAGUUUUUUUAAAAGAUAUUGUAUAAUUUAUCUACUUUUAUUUACUUCUAUAUAACUCGUUUUAUUUAAGUAAUUAUUAUUUUUUAUUCUAUCUAUGACACAAAGUCAACAAACCAUAGUACUUGAUUAUAUUCUAACCAAUACAAUUUAAUUUAGCUCCAAUAAUCAAGGUUUAAAGACUAAGAUGUAAGAUUAUAUUAUAGCAAGUUAAUUGUAAUCUAAUUUUAAUAGAAAGAAUUAUCAAGAUUGGAUACUAGACUAAAGUCUAGCUUUAAAAAGUAGAAUUGAUAGAUUGAGAUGGUGGACUGUACUCCAACAAGUAAAUGUUGUGAAUAGACUUCAAUAUUGUAUGUUGAUUAUUAGUCCAAUAUGCAUACAACUUAGCAUAUUCAUGCAACAUUAUGCAAUGAGUAACAUGACCAAUAUAUUGUGAUAUUAGACUACAGUCUAAUUUUAAUAAGCAAAAUUUAUAAAUUAGAUAGUAGUCCGUAGUCUAGCAAAUAGAGUUUUGUAUACUUAUAGCAAGUAUGGUAGAUAGUCUAGAGUAGAUGGAUUAAAGUUUUGCAUGCAAAUUGCUAGUCUUACAUGCAUGUAGUAUUAUAUAUAUAAUGUACCACUAUACAAGGCAUAAAAGGCCAAAUUGAUCAAGGUGCUUAGUUAAAAUUUAAUAUUGAUAUUGCAAUCUAGCUUCAACAAGUAAGAUCUACAUGUUAUAGUAUAAGACCACAUUUCAAUAAGUAGACUUUCAUCAAACUCUAAUAUAUAAUGUUAAUGGAAUGCAUUAGACAAAUUAUAAAACAAUAUGCAGAUUAUUGAUUUGAUUCCAACAAUAAGAAUCAACAUGUUAAACAAUGCAAUGUGAAUUAUAAAGUAGACUAUGGUUUAGCUCCAAAAAACACAUUAUUCUUUAAUUUCAGCAAGUAGAAUUGAUAAGGUUGGAAUAUUUGAACACAAUGUAAUAAAUAUGCUAUAGUCUAAUUCUAGCAAGUAAAAUCAUUAGAUUAAGAUGCUAGAUCAUAGAUUAGAAAGCAUAUUGUGGUAGAAUUUUAAAAUUUGAGGUCUAUGAAUUGAGGUGUUAGAUUGCACUUCAAGAAAUAGAUUGUAAUUUAAUUUAAGAAAACAAAAUCAAAUUGAUAGAAUAUUUGAUAGUAGAUUCAAAUUUAAAAUUUAUUUCAAUUUUAGUAGGAAAUUUUAGUUGAUAGAUUAUGGUAGAUGGACUAAAAAAUUUCAUAUAAAUUAUUAUUCUAACAUUCAAAAAGUAUGGCAAGUAUAAUAUACCACCAUAUACCAAAUAGCAAACCUAAUAGAUUGAAAUGUUAAAUUAUAGCCCAACAAAUAGUAUACACUCUAGCUCUAAUUAAGUGGAUUAAUAAGCUAGGCUUUUAAAUUACAAUCCAACAAAUAAUCUUUGGUCUAAAUUGAGUAUAAAGAUUGAUAGGUUAAGAUGGUAGAUCAUAAUGUAAUUUUAAAUACACCUCAUGGGUUAUAAUGUUAGACUCCGAUUUGCUAAAUAGACUUUGUUUAAUUUCAGCAAGCACUCUUUGGUCUAGCUCCAAUAAGAAAGGUUGAUGGAUUAGGAAAUUAGAUUGUAGUCCAACAAACAAAUUUUGGUCCAAGUUUAUUAAGUAAGAUUAAUAAAGUAGUAACAAUAAAUAAAUUUUUGACUUUUACCAAUAGAUGUUUUGAUAAUAAAAGGGCCAAAAAUAACAUUUAUCAAUUGUCAAAUCCUUCCAUAUUUGUUUCAUUCUUUAAUUUGUUAGAUAAGUUAUGAAUCUUAUUAAGUCUAAUACAUAUUUUUUAAAUAUACAAAACAUACCAAGUUUAGAUCCAAGUAUAUUGGAUUGUUAAUUUAGUAAUAAAACUAACUAAUAAAUUUCAAAUAAAAAAGACUAAAUAAAGAAAAUAAAUACUAUACACUUUUUAUUGGCAUUGUUUUGGUGUAAUACAACUAUUGAAUCAAAAAGAGAAGAAAAUAUUAUAUGAUAGAAGAACUUAUUUAAAAUUUAGUAAUAAAUUACCAUAGAAACAUAGAUAAAGAUUAAGAAGGUAAUAAAACUAAUAAGUGAUAAUGCUGCCUUAUUAUUAAAAAACCUUUAAAUUAAUUUAUAAGGCCAAAAAUAAGAUAAAAAAAGUAGAUUAGAAAAAAUAAUAUCAUAGGCAUCUUUUGAUUGAAGUCAAGAAUAGAAAUAAAUAAAAAUUACUUAGAUAAAUCUUAUAUCUAUAUCCAUCGAGGGUAGGUUAUGAAGCAUGGUCAAAACCAGACCUUAAGGCACAAAAUUGUGCACCUAUGGGAGAUUGGAUUUUUUCUUGAACAUGAUUAAAGAACAAGGUUAUGAAGCAAAAAAUAUAAAGAUUUUUUAAGCAUUUGUUUAAAUAAAUUUACAUUGAAAUUAUUUUGAAAAAGCUAUGCAAAAUUAGUAUUUUUUUUAAGAUGAAUUGGAGUUACAAAAAAUAAAAAAUAUAUUUCUGUUUCUAAGAAUUUUCUAUGCAAUGUAGUAGAUUGAAAAUUAAAAACUUGUAGGAUUUUAAAUCUAUUUUUUGUGAAUAUUUUAUAUUAAGAUUUUUUUAGGAUUUAUUAAGUUUUUUUUCAGAUUUUAUAAGGAUUUUAAAGUUUUAUUUAAGAUUUUAUUAGAAUUUAUUAAAGUUGAGAUAGAAUUUAUUGAUGUUUAUUUAGGAUUUUAUAUAGAUUUAUUUGAGGUUUUAUUUUUGUAUCUUAAGAAUUUUAUCAGGAUUAUAGUCUAUUUUUAAAAAAAAUUGGUUAAUUUUUCAAAAAUUUAUUAAUCUUUUAUUAUUUCUUUAUGAUUUAUUCUAUAAAUAUUUAUUUAAGAUUAAAUUGUAAUUUUUUUUAGAAUUUUAUUAAUGUUUCUUUAAGAAUGAAAUAAGUUUUUUAAGAUUCAAUUAAAAUUUGUUCAUGAUUUAAGGUUUUAUUUGUUUUUAAUAUAAGUUUAUCUUCUACAUCCAAGUGCUUGAUGCAUCUUCAAGCAAGUGGAUACAUAAUACAACAAUGUAGUAACAAAAAAAAUACAUACUAAAAACUUUAUAAAAAAGAAGAAAGAAAAUAAUUAAUGAAUUAAAAAAAUUAAAAAUCAAACUAAUAGAAAUAUUUGAUGAAUAAGUGAUAAAAAGUAUAAAAAGUAUAAAAUAUAUAUAUAUAUAUAUAUAUAUAUAUAUAAGAAAAGAAAUCCAAUAUACAAAAUAAGCAACAAAACAAAAAAUUUAAAUCAUAGCAAAUUAUACUUCAAUGAUAGAUAACACAUGGGUGUUUUGCAUAUUAACCCGACUUAAAAGAAUUUUAUUAUAGUCUACUUGCUUGAUAAUAAUCUACUAUUAUAUUUCCUAAAUCCUACUUAUCAAAGCUAGACCAAUAUAAAGAUAUUAAAAAAGAUACAUCUAUUUUAUAAAUGAAAGAGAUUUAUGAAAUGGAAUUAACUAAAAAUAAAAAUAUAUUGAUCUUAUAUUAGAAUUUUAUGAAUAUUCUUCUUUAAACACUACUUAAAGUAAUUUGUAAUAUUAAAGUAUUUAUAUGUAAAGUUUACUUUUAAAAAAUAAAAUAGAAUAUUUUAUCUGCCAAACCUAGAAUACAUGUUUUCUUGAAUCUUAUUAAUAAGAAAUUGAUAAUAUAAUAUAUAUAUAUAUAAAAAAAAAAUCUAAAACUUAUACAUCAUUUAUAUUUACUUGAUUUUUUUUAUUUUAAAAAAAUUUGUAUAUAUAUAUAUAUAUAUAUAUAUAUAUAUUCUAGAAAAUUCAAGAAAGAGAAGGUGCAUAAGAUAUUUAAUAUUGAGGAAUUUGGCUUGAUGAAUUUUACACCAACUUUUGACAUGUACAUCUAAGACAUGAAGGUUCAUCAAGAGCUAUAAUAUAAGGUAAUGUCUACAUUAUCUAAAAAGAGGCUUUAUGAUAUGCCAAUCAUAAUGUAUAUAAUGUAUUCUCGAUUGAAAGAGUUUAAUUUGUUAAUACAAUUAUGGAAAGGUAUAAAAGAAGAAGUAGAAAUUUGUAUUUUUUAGAUAUAAGAAUUAAACUUAGUAUUUAGAAUGUAAAAAAAAUGGUUAUUGCACAUGCAUUAUAUAAUUGGCUUAGUCUUUUAUAGUCAAAGGACUUAACUAGCAAGUUCUAUUAAAAUGCAUAGUCUUUUUGUGAAUUCUAUGUUUGAAGAUUUUACAGCAUGCCAAAAAGAAUUAGAAUAAAAAAUACAUGAAGCAAAAGCUAGAGUGCCAAAAAUUAUUAUACAAAGUAUGUUGACAUUAGCGUGUCAAGCAAUUCGAUGAAAUGGUAAUAAUAUAAAUUAACAACUUUAAGAAAUGCACAAUUGAAAAGUUGUCAAAAUCCUCCAACAAGAAGCAAGAAAAGAACCAUUGUUUUUGUAUGAUAAUAGUAAAUAAGAUGAUAAAGAAAUCCCUCUUAUUAUUGUUGAUUUUUUAAAAAUAUACAUGUUUGUUUUGAGCAAAUAAAAUCAUGGAUCAAGAUGCCUAUCUAUUCAACUUAAAACAAGUGGAAAAGAAUAGAUUUUGAAAAAAUUGACAUUUAUAUAGAUUAAGUGAGUGUAAUUUGCUACUGUACUAAAUAAUUUAAUUUUUAAAAUCAUGUAGUGAAUUUAAAAUAAAAUAUUAGAAUUUUAUUAUUUUUAUUAUUUUACAAUUUUAUAAUUUUGAAUUAUAUUAUGUCUUAUUUUAUUAUAUUAUAAUAAUAUUAUUGAUAGAUAUUUUUUAAAAAAAGUUUUCUAAUAGAUGUCAAGUUUGACAAUUUAUUAUAUUGUGAGCUCCAAUCAUGCCUUCUUAUUUUUGAAAUCCUAGUUAGUUUUAUUGAUAAAAACAUUCUAUAUAAUAUUUUAGAAGAACAUCAAUUUUUUUUUUAAUGUUUGUAGAUUUGCUUAUAAAACUUUUUUUUUAUUAAAAUUUUAGCACUCUUUAUUAAAAAAAAUAUAUUUUUAUAUUUUCAAUUAUAGAUCCAAAAAGAUAAAAUUUAAAUAACUCACAAUUUAAAGUAUAUAUUUUUUAAUUAAGUUUUUUACAACAAUAUUUGUAUAUUAUCUAAAUUUUAACUUAUUUUAUAAAAAAUAUAGUCUAAAUGUUUCUUUAAAUAUAUUAAUUUUUUCAUAAUAUUAUUUUUUAAAUUAAAGCAUUAAAAAGCUAAAAAUAAUAUUGUCUUUGUGUAAAAAAUACCAUGGUAAUAUUAUUUCUUUGUUACCUAAAAAAGAAUCAUAAUUUAUUUUUGUCUCUUUUAAUCCUAAUCACUUUAAAAAUAUUAUGUAUUUUUAAAUUAUUUCCAUAUAAAUUUUAAUUGAUUUUUAUUCAAUUUUAAAUAUUUAUUUUUUAUUCAAAAACUUCUACUCUAAUAUAAUCAUAUAAAAAAUAUGUAGACGACAUGUUAGAUUUCACAUACACACAAAAAAACAUAUUCAUCUCCUACCAAACCUAUAUAAAUAAUUAAAUAAUUAUAUUAUGAAUAAAUUCCACUAGUCCAAUUAGUUUACAAGGCCAACAAAGUACCUUAGUUUCAUUGUAUCCAUUUGAAUGAGCUAUCCUUACAACACCCAUCACUUGUCAAGCUGAAGAUUGACAACUUUUUAGUGCAUCACCACUCUAAAGUAUUUAAGCUUGCAGAUAUUGUGUGCAAUCUGCAAACACCUGUGUGUGAUGGUUUUGGAGUUAGAAAAAUUCAUCUUAGAUCUCAUUAUUAAAGGAACAUGGGAACUUUGAACUCAUGACCUCAGUAAAGGAUACUAGGCUCUCAAAAAUGCAAUUUGAAGACUCUAAGACUAUUGAAGACCUGCAUUGAAAAGAGUCUUUGCCGCAUCUUGCCAAAGUUUGUGGCGAAUCCAAUUCAUAAAUAUUUUCCCUUCAAAGUAACAAAGAUGCUAUUUUGUGCAGAAGCGUAAUUUUUCAACGCAACUUUCCAAUUCUAUAUAAGAUCAUGUUAUUCUUUGCUUAUAUAGGGAGAGUUGAUCUUGUUGGCAAGUCCAAUUGUGAUUGAGUAGAUUGUAGUAAUGAAGCAUGGCAAUAAACUAACAUAUAUAUAUAUAUAUAUAUAUAUAUUAAAUUACAAAUUAUUUCUUAUAGAGUAGUAACAACUAUGUUUUUUUUAAGAAAAACUAAUUUAGUAAUAUAAUAAUAAAAGACAAGUAUUUUUUAACUAUUAAAUUAGAUAAAUGUAGGAUUUUUCUAUGAUAAUAUUUAUAUUGUAGAAUAUCUUUUAUGUUAUAUUGCUUAUACUUUUGAAUUAAUUUGAGCCAUAUAUUUGAUUCUACUAAUGACAUAGUCACUAAUGUUUGUUUUUUAUUUUCUUAAAAAAUUAUUUUUUUAACAAAUAAAAUAAAUGAAUAAAUAAAUAAAUAUAAUUAGGGGCAAAAAAAAUUAAUUGUUGGCUUUUUUUUAAUUUUUUAAAUAAAUUUAAAAUAAUUCUUAUUUUAUGAUUUAAAAUUAAUGUAUUGAAUAGUUCAUCUUAGAAAUAUCUAAUUUAAAAUAUAUAUAUAUAUAUAUAUAUAUAUAUAUAUAACCAUACUUAUCUAUUAAUUUUAUAAAUAUAUUUUGGUCUAAACAUUUUUUAGUAUGCAGUGGAUAGCUCACAAUUUAAUCAUGAAGAUAAAGUAUACGAAUCUUAAUAGCAAUUACUAAAUUUAUUUUUUCUGAUAUUAGUUAAAAUUCUUGUUUUUUUUUAAAAAAGAACUUCAAAAAUACAUCAAUUAUCUUUUUUAUUUGAUUAUAUUAUAUAUUUAUAUAUCUUUUUUAGUUUUUAAAUCCACAUUAUACAUUUGUACCCAAAUAUUUUCACUUAAUUUUGAUAAAGAUCAGUAUAAUAACAACUCAACACAAAUAAAAUUUACUUUCAAUUACCAAGAGUGGCUAUGUACGCCUUUAUCUUAAAUCGGAAAAAUAAAAAUAAAAAUAAAAAUAAAUCAAUGUCUAAUAUUUAUAUAUUUGUCAUGUUAAAUUGAAUUUAAAAGAGUUAAGAGCUUAUUGGUAAUCUAUAUGUAUAAAUCAAGAUUUAUAGUUUAUUUUAUAUGUGAGAAUUUAACAACCAGUGCUUGGAUACUAAAACAAAAAAUCAGUGAGUAGUUAUAGGCAAGAAAUAUAACAUAAAUAUUUCUAUUGCAAAGAGACAUAAUAUCUACAACCAAAUAUUCAUAUAUAUAUAUAUAUAUAUAUAUAACAAGUAUUAAGCUAUUAUUUUGAUACAUUUGUUUGCAUUAGCGUUAGAAGAUGUACUUAAAUAGUUAGUAUUGUUGAAGGUAUUGGAUUUAUUUUGGCUUGUCUAAGUACUAUAAAAUAACUAUUUGAUAAAUAAAACGCAUAGUUAGACAUUUAAGAUCAAAAUUAUUUUGCUUUUAAAUGUCUAACUAUGUGUUUUAUUUAUAACUAUGUGUUUUAUUUAUUUUUUAUUCUUAUUAGUGAUUUAUUUCUUUUUAUCAAUUUAUGACAGAAUACAAAAUAAUAGUAUAACAAUUAUUUUGUAUUCUAACAAGUUAAUCAAAUAUAGAAUUAAGGAUUAUAUUAUAAAAAUAAAAAUAAAAGAAAGACAAUUAGAUUAAGUUUGACAUAAACUUUCUCAAUCUUCUACAUUUAAUGAAAGAAGUAUUAAGAUUCUUUUUAAUGUCAUGAAAUUAUGUUGAAUUAGUUCUAUUUGUAGUAUAUAAAUAUAUAUAUAUAUAUAUAUAUAUAUAUAUAUAUUAUAGGUUAUAAUAUAAAUAAAUAAAUAAAUAACUGAUCAUAUAUUUUUAAUUAUUUAAAAGUUGUAUAAUAAAAUGUACUUUCAUAUAUAUAUAUAUAUAUAUAUAUAUAUUUGGAUAAUCUAAAGACUGAUUUUUAAUUUUUUUUAUAAUGACAUCUUUGUUUGUUUUACAUUUUUAUUCCUUUUACUCAAUAAACUUGAAAAUAAAAAAAAUAUCAUUUUUUAGACAUAAACUUGUUAAUUAUGUAUUUUGAUUCAGACACAAGUAUUCCCACAAUUUAUCCUAAUUUUAAUCACCCAAAAACCUACCAGCUAUGCUACAAAGAAUGUGUUGUUGCAUGCCCAAUUUCCGGUUCAUGUAUGAACCACUCAAUCUUGUAAAAAAGUUCCAAGUGUCAACCAAAUAAAAAUAAAACAAAAAUUAACUCAAGUAUGCCAAAUGAUGGAAAAAAACAAAAAAACCAACAAGAAUGAGACGAUGGCGUUAUGCAAACCUUUUCCCAAUUUUCAAUGUUUUACAAAAUAUUAUACAAAAGUUAUAAGAAAAUUAAUAAAAACAAGAAAAAGUAAAAGUAUAAGAAAGUCAUGCACAAGGCGACCACCAAACAAUCAUGGAGAGAAAAAAGUGCAUUGCGGUGUCUACUCUUCGCAGCAACACCCCACAUUAAAUGUUACCCCGCCCCCUUCCACCCCACCCCCAGGUAAUGAACCAACCAGCCACAUCAGCAGGAACAGUCCAACGGGGCAGGCCACGUCACCAUUAUGUCGACGUGGCGGCAUAUUCAGUUGGGCCAAUGCCCUCGCCCAAUGAGAAAGCCCAGUGCCACAAAAUUUCCGAAACUGGAAAUACCAGAUGGGAAAAAUCUACGACGAUCACAAGCGGAAGAUAUUUUUUUAAAAAAAUUAAUUUUGCUGCAGAGCCUGGGUGGGGGCGGGGACGGGGCUUUGAGCUUCAUCACCGCGACGUCGACGCUGCAACAGCAGUAGUAGCAUCAGGUGCUGAGAUCGCGAGGGAGGGGGGAGGGAAGGAAGGAAGGAAGGAAGGAAGGAAGGAAGGCCAGGCUUGCUUGCUUCCUUUCUCUGUAGUGCCCGGUUGCAGCAGCACAGCAGCAGCAGCAGCCGCAGUGCAGCGGAGUUUUGGUGUUGCAUCAGCAGUAACGGGAUCUAAGCACAUCUGAUUUUGCGGAAGAAAAGUGAUUGAUAGAUACCUACCUACCUACCUACGUACUUACUUACUUACUUAUCUAUCUGCCUACGCAGGGGGUUUAUUAUUUUGUUUGUGUGUGAGGGUUUGAUUGUUCGCUUUUAGAGGGUUUGGAUAUAUAUUUUUUUUAGUCGGGGAAGUGGAGCAGGGAGAGAGAUUGUUCGGGUUAGGGAGGUUAGAGGAAUGAACUCGAGAUAGUAGGUUUUAUAGUUUUGGGAGUGAAGAGGAGGAGCUUAGGGGGGAGGGAGUUGGAAUUGGAGGGCGGUGAAGGUUUAUAACUCAUAGCUGAAGCUUGGCUCUGCGGGAGCGGACGGUGCGAUUGCCGCUUGGUGUCGUUGCCGUGCAGUUCGUUUGCGGCUCUGGUUGUUAGGUACGUAGGUCCAGACGGUUGUGAUGAAGCUUGUGUUCUUGUUCGCGUGCAGAUGAAGUUUGGUUGCCUUUGCUGGUUCGUAAUUUGACCUAGUUUGGUGUGAUUGUGUGAUGGUAACGUUGUGUUACUCUUGUUGCGUUCGUGCAGCGGAAUGCACUGGUAGGUGAUAGUCUUAGCUCGGUUAAUGCGAGUACUUGGGGGAUUUCGUAAAAAAUAACUGUUGAAUUAGGGUAGUGUAGAUAAUUUGAUAAUUACUGGUUAAUUGGGUUUUGUAGCGGGGUCUAGGCCGGAGUUACUCGCGAAAGUAUGGAUAGAAGAAGAAGUGAUAUGUAACUUGCGGGUAUGUAUCGUCUUCCUGGCUUAGAAGUAGAAUUUGACAAUACUGGUUGAAAGGCUUUUAUGUCCUUGCAUGGAUCUGGGAUUUGAGCGUUUUGGAACUGUUUGUUGUUAAAUUCUAGGAAUGUUAUGAUUGAUUGGAGUUAGGGGGAAAUUUGAAGGGAGUCUGCUAUUCUGCUCAACCGGUUCAGGGAUGGGAUGAUUGCGGGAGCCGUUUAGGACUGUGAAUUGAUAGCUGCAAUAUAGGUAGGAAGAGUUUAUUCAGGAAACGAUACCCAACUUUUCUGUUCAUUUACUCCGCUACCUUUACGUUCUCUAAUUUAUUUUUCCAUAUGACCUCGUCUGGCCUAUUCGUGCGAACAUGAAAGCGCAGACGCCUGACGAAUUUUGUUGGACACAGCUGAGUGUAGGUCAUCUAACUUUUCUUUUUUCUUUUUUCUUCUUUUUCGCAUGUGUUAUCUUUGUACUUUCAACUUAUACAAUGUGUUACGAGCAUGCAAUAACGUAAUUGCAUCAACACACACAUGCAGUAAAGUAGUGGACGGAAUGGCUCAGCUUCAAGAUGAUGGACAGUACGUGGGUGACGAGUACAUGGUGGAUUUUGAAGACGAUGCUGAGGAUCAACUGCAGGCGGCCCGUGAGAGCAACUUGCUUGACUCAGAUUCAGAUGAUGACAGUGAUGUGGUGGGUCUGCCUUUCAGCGCCACUUGAAUUAAAUAUGGAUCUCAGGAGAUAUAUGACUCCUGACUAUGAUUUCGCGUCAUGAACUUUAUUACGUAUGAAAUUGCUGCUUAGCAUUUGGUGCCCACACUUGGCGCGAAAACUGCACUUCAAUUUGUUAAUAUUUUGAAGACACAUGUGCAUUAGAUCAGUAGGCACAGGAUCUGAUAAAUAGUUAUGCUGAUAUUAGUCAUUGUUGCCUCUGAUGCUAUUGACAUUCUAUCAGUCGCUGGUUUAUUUUGUGUAAAAUGGAAAGAUCCUGGUUCAAAGACUUCUUUUAUGUUCUUGCAGAUGAGUAAACUAUCGGACACGACUGCUGCUCAAGCUCGACGAGGUAAGGAUAUCCAAGGCAUCCCUUGGGACGGGCUGCUGUUUACGAGAGAACAAUACAGGGAAACUCGCCUCCAACAGUACAAGAAUUACUUGAAUUUGCAAUUGCCGCAUGAUGAUCUGGAGAAGGUGACCGAUACCUCGAAACGCUUUCUCGUUGAUAUAUUCUAAUAGAUUCACAGUGUUUAGACUUUUACGCUGUCUCCAGUUCUGAGAAUUUUCUGCGGUCAAAGUGAGAUCUCCAGAGGCCCUACUACGAAUGUAAUUGCUGAAUGUGUUGCUUGUUCUCUUUUGGGUUUAUUUUAUUUUGUUUUAUUCAUUUUUUAUUUUAUUUGCAGGAGUGCAAAGUGGUAGAGAAAGGAGGAAAGUUUUUUGAUUUUCGGCACAACACUAGAUCGGUUAAAUCAACUAUCGUUCAUUUUCAGGUCAGUCCCUCUUAGAUUCAUAUUGUCUAUGUUUUUUUUUUCCCAUGAGUUGUGUGCAGGGCUUUUGGCUUUUUGUGGCGUGACAUUAUCAGUUGGAGUUCCAUAAUGUUUCGUAAUGGUUUCCUGAAGUUUCGUGCAGAUACUGUUCAGUGAUCCAAUUUAAUGUUUGUGUAUUAAUUACUUUCCCUUGUGAAUGGAUGGUGAUCAGUUACGAAAUCUAGUGUGGGCUACGUCCAAGCACGAUGUUUAUCUUAUGCACAGCUACUCGGUGAUGCACUGGUCGCCUAUCACCAGGAAAGGAACUGAAGUGCUUAAUGUUGCAGGUCCUGUUGAUCCAGCGUUAGAGGUAACUCCGUUAGCUGCUUGACAGCUUGUUUAGUUCGAUGUUUUGUUCUGUUUAGUCUUUUUUGGAAAGUCUUUUUUAUCAAAACCUCAACAAGUUUUAUGUACAAGUUUCGAAACCUGUGUGUGUUAUUUUUAGUCAUGUACUGAGUGCGCUCAUACGGUACAGGGCCUUUUUUCUAAUUUUGAUUUUCUGGUUUCGAUUUAAUUUAACUAUCAUUUAAUUUAUCGUACAUGAUAUUUAGUAACGUUCUAGUGCAGAGGCGAUGUUAAGACGUCAUUAAUAGUGUUGAAACUUUUUUAGUUAUAUGUGUAUAUAAAAGAAAAAAUUUUCUGGGACUUGAAACUACGACACUAGGAUGAAUUCAAUAGGUAGGUUUCGUGCCCUCUUUUUGUUCUACUCAUCAUGAUCUACCACAAUUUUUGCUUAGGCUCAGAGAAAUCCGUGGCUCUAUCAACAUGGGUUGGGACGUGUUCAGAUUAGUACAAUGUGUGUGAAGCGAAAUCUUCUUGUUGCUGGUGGAUUUCAAGGCGAGAUGGUUUGCAAGGUACGAUGAACUCACGUAGCUGAUUUAUGUUGUAUUUUGGGCAUGUGAAUGCUUGUUCGUGUUGCAUCUAAUUAUGUUCACACCAAAACCAUGAAGUGCUUAUGCUCUGAUUAUGGUUGUACAGAACCUUGAUCGUCCUGGAGUGACGUAUUGUGCCAAGAUCACUCAUGAUGAAAAUGCUAUUACCAACGCCAUCGACAUUUAUGAUGACUGCAGGUUCUUGUUAAGAUGAAGUGAUAGCUGCGAGCUGUGAUUUUGUGUAACCAGUUUGACACUUUAUUCAAAGACAUAUGUCUCUGCUUUUUGAGAACGAAUUCAUUAAGCUUUUGGUGUUUGUUGUGGUUUGCAGUGGAGCUGUGCGUUUGAUGAGUUCCAACAAUGACUCGGUGGUUCGCGUUUUUGACUGCAACAAUUUUUCUGUUUUGAGCCGAUUUUACUUCCCAUGGGCUGUUAAUGUAAACUCCUUUAUUAUCUCCUUCUGUGUGUCUCUGCUCUUGCCUGUUAUCUACCAGUGUGGUUUGCGUGGAGUACCCCUUUGUCAAAUUACACCAGGGUGUUGACAAUGCUCAUAAUGCUCUAACUUUUCUUCUUUUCGGUGCAGCACACCUCUGUUAGUCCUGACAGCAAGUCUGUAAUAGUUGUGGGAGAUAAUGCUGAAGGAAUUUUGGCUGAUAGUCAGAGCGGCAAGGUAAAUUUUGCUUUCAAGAAAGUUUAUCUUCUCUUCCUUUCUCUUCUUUUUUCUUCCUUACUUUUUUUCUUCUUUCCUCCUGCUUCUUCCUCCAAAGAUCAAAGUAAAAACGGACUUGAACCAGGUAGCAUUCAAUAACACUGCAUAACAUUAUAUUGCCUAUGAUGGUUUCAGGUUAUAGCAACUUUAAGAGGCCAUCUAGACUACUCAUUUGCGUCAGCUUGGCAUCCCGAUGGACGUGUUUUUGCCACUGGAAAUCAAGAUACAACCUGCCGCCUUUGGGAUAAUCGCUAUCUGGGAUCCUCAUUAGCAGUUUUGAAAGGCCGCAUUGGUGCAAUACGCUCUAUAAGAUUCACAGGGGACGGAUGCUUUAUGGUUAUGGCAGAACCUGCAGAUUUCGUUCAUGUUUUUGACACCAAGCAGAACUACUCUCAUUGUCAGGAGAUCGAUCUCUUCGGAGAAGUAGCCGGAGUCUCUUUUAGUCCCGAUUCAGAGGCCCUUUAUGUCGGUGUGGCAGAUCGUACCUAUGGCAGUCUACUCGAGUUCAACCGAAGUCAUGCUAACACAUUUCUUGAUUGCAUCUUAUGAAUAUCGUUUGCAAUUUCGGUAUCAUAGGCAGAUCUUUGUCACACAGCCGCAUGAACAUGGGUUAGUUGUGAGGUUUCGUGGAUGAUCAUGACUUCAUGGGGAGCAUAUGUGCGACAGUGGAACGGGACGUGUAUUAUCAGAAAAUCAAGGCUUUUGGAUUACAUGUUUAGUCGUGGAUUUUACUGUGGAUGGGGGAAAAUAUGGGUGCUGUUUAUUCCUUCAAUCGCAGCAGGGUUGCAGAUGGCACCCGAUAAAGCUUUGAACUCAGUGCGUCCACUGUUUCGUCAGAGAUCUUCUCUGUGAAAAGAUGGCUAAGAUGGCAAGGACAUGGAAAUUGAGAUAAAAUGCUGAGUUGGAACAUGAACGAUAUUGAAUAUUAGCUAAGCCUACGAUGCAGAAAGGUAUAGGAAGAACAGGUUGAUACUGCCUUGCAGUGCUCAUAAGCAGUUCUGCACGUGACCCCUCUGAGGAACAGAAAAAGUGUAAGUAGGUUACUAUGAGAAGUGUGGAGUCGUGUUUGAUGAGGAGCUAUAUGCGUGGCCAUUCUGGAUUUAGAAGGUUAGCUAUUUUAGUGAAUUAUUCGUUAUGCUUCUCACUGUUUGAGUUGGUAGGGCUCAGCUGGGGACUUUUGGAAGCAUCUUUGUAAAUAACUGUGUUAACCUACAACAGUUCCAGUUUAUCUUGUUUUGUAUUCGUACAUUUAUAGUUGACUGAAAUGGCGGUUUGCGGUGACUAUGUUGCAAGGAACACCAAUUUGGAUUGGCUGCUGUUCUAAUUUCUGUACAGUUUCUGUUUGUUUUCGAAUUAGUGUUCUUGCACAAUUUGUAACGGCGAAUGUUCUUUGUUUCUCCAUGUGUGUAGUGUGUGAUACAAUCCCGACUUAUUACAUACUUGGCAUGUAGUAGGUCUUAAAUUACUAACGCUCAAGCAAAACGCUCAUCGUUUUUUUGCAGAACCUGAAUCGAAGGCCCAACUCUCGCUGCACUUGUAUCCGUGCCUGGUGCAGAAUAUGCACUUGGCUUAGAAUGGCUUAGAAAGGCGGAUUCGCUUUUGGAGUUCUCAAUUUGUCCACUUCAGAAUCGAUACUUUAUCUCUUGUGCAUCAUCUUCGAAUCGUCGGAAAUGAAUGGCUAAGGCAUUACUCAGAUCCAUCAUGCCUGCCAGUCAGCCAAAUGUGAAGUUCUUGUUGGAAGGUUCUAUGCCACUUUUCAUUUACUUUCAACUGGUGGCUCUUUAUAGUACUCAAGUGUGGUGCCAUUUUGCAACACUAAGUGAGGCUUGUAUGUUGAUAACAUUUUUUGGUUCAAGCCAACAGUAGGUGGCAAAUGAAGGGAAAAGAUGAGACAAAACUAUGGGAAGAUAUAAGUGGCCAAUUUUGACAACAAUUAAUGCAAAAGAGUUUGAUACUCUAGUUGUAAUGCAAUAUUCCUUUAUGUACACAAUAUUUUGUUAUAAACCUAAAUUGAUGCACAAAUACUAAUAAAAACACAUGUAUCUCUAAUGUUUAGAGUUUCUUAAAUGACACUUAAGGAUUAAUGUGUUUAUACAAUUUUAAAAUUUUUAUUCAUUAGAAGUUUUUUUUAUUGUGUAAUUGACACUUCAUUGUCAAAAAUUGGAUUCUCUCUAGCAUAUUUAUUAAUUUUGUGUCUAUUAUUUGAGUUUUUGUUUUUGUUAUAAUAAGCAUUUAUCAACAUGUUAUAUAAUUACAAGGGAAUGAUAAAGUGAUCCAAAUUUUUACUAAAGCAACUUACUCUAUUUUAACCAUCAUUGCACCUUUGUAGCCUCCAAAUUAUAUAAAACUUUCACCAAAACAAUGAGAAAUUUAUAAGAAAAAUCUUUAAAUGUUCCUUUCCUAUAAUAACCAAAUUAAUGCAACAUCAAUAAUGAUUAAAAUUUAAAUAAAAAUCUGUUUAAAGUUAUCUCAUUCAUUUAUAAAUUAUUUAUUACUUAAAAUAAUAACUCAAAUUUUAUCAAGCAAAAUUUAGUAUUAUUUGAAAAAUAUAAUCUGAAGUAUAUUUGAUUAUAAUUAAAAUUAUAAAUCAUGCAAAAUAAAAAAUUAAUGAUAAUAAUAACUUUAGAAAUCUUAAAACUUGCUACCUAAGACAUAAUGUAUAUCAGUAUCAAUAGAUAAAUACAAUUGUGUUUAAAAUCAUAUUUUAUUUAUCAUUUCAUUUUUUUUCUUUUAUUUUGUCCAAUAUCAUCAAAAACUAAAGAACUACGUGUAUUUUUACUAAAAAUAACAAAUAAUCAUCUUCUUUGCUCUAGUACAAAUCUAUAGAAAAUACAUAUAUUAUCCUACUUUAUACUAGAAAUCAAAUUUUAUAAUUUUUUUAAAAAAACAUUAUAUGUCUACUAUAAUUGAUACUACUUAGAAUGUAUAUGCUGUGUGAUUGUGAAUUUAAAUCAAACCUUGAUUGAUAAUAAAUUUUACACUACGAUUUUUAAUUUAUAAAAAACUUAAUACAUACCAUACAAAAGUAAUUUGAAUUUUAACUUUAUAUAUGUAAUAUAAAAUUAAAAUUAUAACUUGUUUAUAAGAUACAAAAAUUAUAAUAUAUUAAAAAAAUAAUCUCAAAUUUAUUAUCUGAUGUAAAAUUUUUAGUAAUUAAUUAUACUAAUAUUUUUAGUAAAAAAAUAAUUCAAAUUUAUUGUGUGUUUGUAUAUAUUUUUUUCUUUUUCUUUUUCUUUUCUUUUUUUCUUUUUUUAUUUAAUUUAUCAAAAGAAACUACACCAUAUUAAAUAUGUCAAAUCACGUUGAAUUUUGAAAUAUCACAAUUUGAUUUCAAAAGCAUAUCAAAGCUUUUUAUAAGUAAGAUACUACAACCAUACAUGUUUAAUAGUAUAUAUAUAUAUAUAUAUAUUUUUUUUUUUUAUAACAUAGAUAGUAAGAUUUGAGGCCGAAAAAUUCAAUAGUUGUUUUAAUGAUUUUUUCUCUUAAUAAAAUUUUGAUUUACUACUUAAUCAAUCAAAAAUGUAUUUAGCUUUGCUUGUAGUCAAUAAAUCUUGUUUUGAUAUAUAUAUAUAUUUUUUUAUUCUUUCGAUUAUUGGAUACAAAUAAAUAUUUUCUUAUUUAUAUUCUACCCUUGUAUUAUCUUCUUUAACCAUGCAAUUAUUUAGUUCUUUAUCAUACACAAGUUAUUUGAUUUGUACAUGUUUUUUAAUCUAUAUUUGUAUGUAUGACUUAUUCUACUUCAUUUUAAGACUUUUUAAUAUCUCAAAAUACUUUAUAUAGAAGUUAUUUUUUUAAAUUUUGAUAGAAAGGAAUUAAUGUAUUUUAAGUUGUAGUAAUUAAAACAAAAAUUAAAAUUUUAUUAUUUUUUAAUUAUAAGUACAUUAUUUUUUAUAUUUUUAAUUACAAUAUCUAAGUUUGAUGGUCGUAUUAUAAAUUUUCCUUCUUUUACCACAACUUGCCACCGACUUAAGAUAUUUUUUUAGUUUUUUUGUUUGUUUGUUUGUUUGUUUUUUUUUUUUUUUCGUUUUUUUUUUUCAAAUCAAUUUUUUUAAUCAAAUGGUUUGAAAGAUAUUGAAUAAAGAAGAUUUGAUUGGUUUGAAAGGUAUUAAACAAAGAAGGCAUGUGGUAGAUGAGAGGUUGUAGUGGCAUUAGUAACAAUUUAUGUAUGUAUGUGUGUGUAUAUAUAUAUUUGUGAAUGAUAAACUUAUUAUAUGCUAGUUCUACAUUUUUAUGAAGAUGACAAGGAUUGCAUGUAAAAAUAUGUAAUUAUAGAUUUAGAAUGUAAUGAUUUUUAUUUUGUGCAUUCUUUUGUUGGAAUUUCAAAAGUGGUUGGAAUAGAGUUAGCCAUGAUGUAGUGUUUUGUCAUUGUGGGACACAUGUACAUAAUCUUAUUGAUGAUUUAUUUAUUAUUAUUAUUUUUAUUUAUUUAAAAGCUGCAUAACACAUAGUUGGACCUCCCACUAAGUUUCCCGGUUUUAGAAAUUUUUCAACAAAAAUAUCAUAAUCGAAGAAAAGAAAUUGAAUUAUAAGUAGGUAGAAGGAAAAUAAAAAAAUAAAAAAGAAGAAAAAGAAGCUACUGAUUUUUUAAAAAUAAAUUAGGUACCAUACAUAUUGAGGUCUAUAAUUGUUUGUCAAUUUAAGAUCAUACGCCUUUAAUAUUAUCAUUGUUACUAUUAUUUUUCGUACUGAUACUGAUCCUAAUAUUUCUAGCUGCAACAAGUUUUAUAACUUGCACAACGAGCCAAAUCGCACAGGUUUGCAAAAUUCGGAGAAAAAAAAAUUGGUAUAAAUAAUUGUGCGAUCAAAUUUCAAAUCCUUCACACAUGAUUACUCAUUCUUAAAAGAAAUUCCCUUUUCUAUUUACCAAGUUAUGCACAACCACUUAUAUACUUUUGAAAAUUUUCAUGACGGACAGAAAGGGAAAAAUCAUCUUUGAAUGGGACUGUUACAGAUUUUUUGUGACUAGCUAUCCGUACAUACCUGUUCAUAUAUACCCAUAUAAAUAUUUACAUUCAUAGACCAAGUCAAUUCUAACUGUAUGUAUAAAUGUGAUUUAACUGAGUACAUAGAAUUUGCAUCGAAAAUUCAUCCCAAGUCAACGAAAUGGAGCCAUUAAAUUUCGGUGAAGAGGGUUCAACGAUCACUGCCAUGAAACAGAAAGUUCGGCACAAAUGCUGAACAAGAACACGUAAUCUUGUUAUUACUCAUCGGCUAGCUCCGGAGAAUGGAAUACUUCGAGAGUACUGGUAUACACAUGAUUUUCUUUUUAUUUUAUUUAUAGACGGAUUUUAUUACAAUCGACGAAUGGUCACAAAAUCGUCGAUGACACCAAGCAUUUUUAAAAGUGAAAUGAAAUCAAUCUUUGAACAGUGCCGCAUUGGACGUUUCGAUCCAACAUCUGGACAAUUCGUAUCCAGAAAAUUGCCGGCUGACCCCCAGAGACUACUGAAAAGGGAACUCUACAGUUUCUACAACCUCAUCAUCCCAGAGAUGAGCGAAUGACAAGAGAUUUCAACAGUCUUGCCACAUCCGUAGCUAGCUCACGAGAUCAGUUCUGGUUUUUGUAGGGGGGGACGUUUAUCUACAUUGAGAGAGCAGCGGCAAGAGCUCCAGUGAGAGCAAAUACCCAUGUUCCGAUGGCCAAAGAGGAAGCGGCGCCGAUUCCUGAACACACACACACACACACACACUCACUCACUUAGUUUAUCUCGCUGACAGUGCUUAUUCAAAAGUUUUGUGAAGUGUUGGACUGGUAAGCUGGAAGAGUUGUCUAUGUCAAUAGCUGCUCUGAGUCCACACAGGGGGACAUAUAAAGUACCCGGAGUAGGGGUGUCGUCGUCGUAUCCGGGGACAGCACUCAAGGUAGUGUUAGGAAGCAACACUCGGUUGAUGAUGUGCACGAUGUUGUUGCACACUCUCAGGUCGGCACUUGUGACGGUGGCAUUGCUGCCGCGUCCAAUGAAGUUUGUUCGGACCUGCGAUGCAGAGAAGACGGACACCGACAUCUGAUGAUUCGGCUGGAAACGUACAGAAUAAAGAAUACAAGCGACCAAAGAAGUAAUGAAGCUAAAAGAGGCCGUGAAGGGUAUGACUAUGCUUACGGUGUUCCCGGUAUUGACUUUAUCAACAGUGAUGGUGGCUCCAUAAAGGCCGGUGCUGAGGACCUUGUUGUCCGAGAGCUGGUUGAUGGUGAGCGGGGAACCAGGGAUGAUAUGAUACAAGAUAAUGCUCCCGGCGCGGUUGUUGCUGUUGACGUACCAAACAUCAAAAUUAGGCACAUAUUCAUGCAGACCAGCUAUCAAUUAUUAACACGUUCCAUGCUGAUGGCCAUGGCUCAAAUUGUCCACAAGAUUUCAGUGAGGCCAAAGAGGGUUGAAUCGAUGUGCACGCUUACUCUCCAGUAACCUGCUCCAAAGUCAAGUUGUUUGCUUGCAGCAACGGAUAUAAGCCGUUUGUACCGUUGAAAGCAUCAUUUCUAGGUGCAAGGAGAGUGGCGUUAUUUGUCUUGCUGAGUCUAUCUUCGAGAUCAGCUGCAUCGAUCACUUGUACAAAAAUCGACAGAUCAGGGUUAUUCUUCAUGGCCUGAAUAAGGUCCGUGCUACACCCCUGCAGACGUCCAAGUUACGAAAAGCUCAGUAGAGGAUAGCAUGCCCAUUACAAAGGUUCCAACACACUAGGCACUGGUCAAGUAUUCUGAGGUGUAAGCCGCACAAAGUUUAGCAGAAAAAGAAAAAGAAAAAGAAAAAAAAAAAAAAAACUAUUGUUCCAGCUCAGUACAGAUGAUUCGAUGAGUUUGUGCCGGAAUGUUGGAAACGCUUUGCAAACUGAAAACCGUCGGAAUAUUAAUGAACAUUUGCCAUGGCACCCAGCUAAAAAGAGCCUUCUCAUAACUGCUUGUCGCAGCAAAAACAAAUUGUUCCAGAUCACGCACAUCAUGCACUUAUCCAACCGAGCACCGUGGAUUCCAUGGUCUAAAAAGAUAGGUUACAUGACAUCUGCUGCAUGGGAGAAGAUCCAUAGCUUUUGUUAUUCUACAGCGCCUUGAUUUGAUAAACCUUCUCGAACUCAC